rnacentral:lncRNA from 1 species
UUUUUUUUUGGUAUUAUACUUGGAGGCCUUGUUUGCCCAAAUUUCAUGUUGAAGGGUCUAAGUAUGGAUGUUUGUUCACACGGGCCUUCGGGCGUCGUGUGCCGGUCGCACCUCGCGAGGUUAGAGUAUGACAAUUAUCAUGAGGAUGAGCACAUUUUGAGGAUGGUUCGGAAGGUAUGAUAACUAGUGCGACAUGAGCUUAUGAGGAGAUUCGACUGGAUAACAGUGCGACGUCAUGGCAGUUAAGAAGGAAGAGUAUUAUGGGUUAUUAGAUGAUUGUUUUAUAGAUUCAAGAAAAGUGGGGGAGUCUACUAUGGAUGAUUAGUUCAUAUGGACAUGUGUUAUUAUAGAUCCUGGACUAGGAUGCACUUGUGGACUAGCUAUAAUUUGAGAAGGGUGUCAUCGAGAAUGAUUUGGGCAAGGAAUUUACUAAAUGCAUGGUGUAUAACACCUUAUUGAUAUAUGGAGGUUGUGGAGUGGCUCAAGUUUGAUAUUCCAUUGUGGAUGUAGUGUGCAGGAUAAAGGAAUUUCUCCGUUACUUCUUUUGGGGUAUUCAUGUCCUAGCAGAGCAUUAGUCGUUUAACAUGUUUGGCUAUGCAUUCAGGACUAGGUCAGAGUGGGUGACUCUCGACUAGUGGAUUCAAGAUCCCGAUUCCGAGGCCGUUUACUCUAAAAUCCAAUCAUAGUCAAUUCUUCCAACUUAAAGCUUUCGAAAUGAGAAUUUUCUUUCCAAUUCACCUCUGAACUUCCCAAAAUUCAAUCCCGACCAUGCGUACAAGUCACAAUACCUGAAAUGAAGCUGCUCAUGGUCUCAAACCGCCGAACGACGCGCUAGAGCUCAAAACGAUCGGUCGGGUCGUUACAUUCUCUCCCACUUAAACAUAUGUCCGUCCUCGAACGUGCUAAGAACUGCUCUGAAGUUGUCUGAAACCACUGCUUAACACCUCGUGCACCUACCUGUGCUACCACAACUCGGUUGAGCACACUGGCUCGAGCAAAUCUGAAGAUUCCCCUUGUGUUUAGUCAAACUAGCCUUAGAGCCAAAUUCCAACAUCCGGAAUCUUCUGCUAGGCCUGUUUCCAACAUACGAUCACCGUACCAAUCACCACACGAUGUAUCAAAACAUGACUGUAUACCUUUGCUAAAUUCACACCAUGCACCACAUAAUUCACAUGACCAUAAUAACAUCCUCUGAUAACAAUAGCCAAAAUUCCCUGAAUCUGAUGUUCACCAUGCACCUCAUGACAUACAUAGGUCUGGUUCCAACUCUUGCAAUACCGCCACUACGAAAGAGACAUGUAGAAAUUCAUAACCAACUGCCGAGUCAACAAAUCAUUGAAUCUCUCCUCUUAACUAGAAUCAUCACCCCAUUAUGAACCGAAUAAUGAUGUUUGCUCUUUUAUAUGCUUCAUAUAAAUCGAUCGCACUGAUCCCUGAUCCAAAAAUCUCGUCUCACCUAGUAUUAUUUGCCCAGGCAAUAGGCCACCUCAGGCACUGCCAAAAGUUGCAUAUGAUGCCACAAUGUGACAAUAAGCGACAAACCCGAACGUGAUACCUAAGGAAAAUGAACUCUAGAAAGGAUUACUCAACCCGCAUAACUAAUUAGACAACCGAAAAGGUGUUACGAACCUUCCUCAAAAAAUGGAAAAUAAAACACACGAAAAUAGACAUAGGGGACUGCACUCAAUAUCACAUUGUUUCGGCGUGCAACCCGAUCCAAACAACAUGCAUGUGGCGGCGUGCCACCCGAUCCACACAUAAAAUCUAUAUAAGGAGAUACUUACCGAGCUAGAAUGCUCAUUAUUACAAAAUACCCGAAUAUCGGCCACAAGAACGCUAAGUGCAUAAUACCAUCCCUGGGGAGACAGAUAAUGUCAUACGAUACAAAACCCAAUCACAACUAAGGUGCGAUAUAUGAUUUGCAUCUCGAGAGCCAUCCUGCUCAUAUAACACUAUCGCUACGCUGAACCUCAACACACAUGAAAUUAACAAGCCGUUUCACAACUCACACGGCACAAUAUAGCACUACAUGAAAAAGCCGACGACGAAAUGACAUCCAACGUCUGAAUACUCCUCCAUAAGAAGAACUAUGCUGAAAUGAACACAUACAGCCUGAUACAGAGCCCAUAUUCAUAUUUAAAUCCUUUCAUGGACCUCAAGCCGAUUCUGAUCGCACCGUACCAGGCUAAUAACCUUUCAAGGGUCUAUAAUAACCCUUUUUUUCAUAACACAUAAGAACAACCAUCAUAAUCGGAAAAAGCUUCCACAGUCCACCACCAGACGAACUGAGCGUCCUCCAGGCACGAAUUCCCAAUUAGCGAUAUUACCACAAUCUUCAUACGUGGUUUUCAUUCUUCAAUCAAUCAAGUGACUACACGUCACACUUAUACAAUCUUCCCGUGGGAUAUGCUCCUAUGACCUUCCGCACCAGGUAACAAGUCUGUACAUUCAUACUACCGGCCACACCAACGUUGUAAAGUAAUUCAAGAAUCUGCAUUCAGUAUGCAAAGCCUCUUCACACCAGGAACCGAUCCCAGGUGACGCCAAAAACAAUGCCAGCUGACUCUAACCAUCUGAGUCCUUUCUCGCUCGUCUGAGCUCGUGACAUUCUUGUCAACACCGAACCGCAACCUUGAUCCUCAACUUCCAAAUCCCAUGCUAAUCACUGCACUUAAUCGUGCCAAUGCGCAAGAGCACCAAAAAUUUCAUCAUAACUCCGGAACCACUAAUAGGGUAAACACUUCAUCAUAUAGAAACAUUUUACUCAGCUCAUUUCAAGAGAACCAUUGCAACAUGCUGCCAAAUUCCCAUGACCACAGAAAAUACAAACCUCGAGUAGUGGUUUAAACCAAUAUAAUUCUUACGGGAUCCGUCUACAUAUAACAUGCCAUAAUGCUUGAAUGCCCCCAAAUAAAAUCAAUUAUGGCAGCCGUCAAACCUCGCAUGUACCGCCACAAAUCAAAUGCAUAAUUCAACACGCUGAAGGAGCUGAUCAUUGCCAUCAUCAUGCCAAUUCAGCCAUUGCUAACCAAACCCGAUUUCUCCUAAUUUACUCUAGAUCUUCCUUAGAAAUAACAACAGCUCCUUUAUCAAUAUAACAAACUCAAUCUGCACUCAUCCCGAGUGACCCCAUUUCACGAGAUUCAUACCCUCCUUGUGCGCAUAAUCGCGUCUUCAACUAAUAUACCCAUUUUGAUGACUCUUCUAUAAAUCCAAAGUUACAUGCACCCCUUCCUUUGAUGAUACCCCGUAGACCAAGGAUAACACGGAACGCUCCAGGCUCCUUUAUCAAAAUCUGCUGCAAAAGCUCGAUAUUCAACCAUAUUAUGGACUCGAAAUCCUUAGACAACACACCUUAACUUUUGAAUCUACUAGGGCCGUUAUUGAGAGUCACCCACUUUGACUUGGUCCCGAAUAUAAUAAACUCCAAGUCUCUGUUAGCACAUGAGAACCCUCUCAAAGAAGCACCUGGCCGAAUCAUCUUCCUUAUAACUCGCCUCUACACAGAGCAUAAAUCCUGAGUUUUCCCAAAACCUAAGCAUGAAUCGAUAAGGCCAACUAUAGCACACAUUCCUCAAAUUGCUUGCUCAAAUUACCACUGAUAUUCUCCUUCCUUAGUCGUAACAACCCAUCAAUAUGACGAUACCCCAAAAAUCUUACAAAUAGACGACCAUGCAAUCCAACUGUAGGCGGUGGAACUCUCCCACUUAUCUUGAAGCUACUAUUGCAUAAACCUGGAACCCACCAAGAUUCUUCCUUCAUCGACAUGAUCUAGCAUAAUCAACCUGCCAAAUUCCUCGAAAUCUUUUCUGUUAAACACUUCAUGAAUACUCUGAAUCACUAGCCACAUGCACAUAUUCGACCUCUUCCUGGAUAGUCAGUAGAAAUUCUCCGUAGGAGCUUCAUCAACACCACACAACCGCUAACCCGCUCACUGGAGAUAACCCACAUGUGGAAAUUCCAUACCGACAUCCUCCAACAAUGCUGCACUGAGUACAAUAACCAUGAAGCCAAUAAACCAUCCUUAGCCCAUGCUCAUUCACCAGCUAUACAAGUCUAUUCACUCCUCAUGGACAUCAACUAAAGGUGCGACAAUACAUUCCAAUCUAAAGUCAUGUUGUAUCCCUCUUCAUAUCAGCAAACUCAUUUAUGUCGCAUCCAAUCUUCCCCCAGUAUAACAGCCAACAUUCUAAAUUAAGUCUCUAGACCUAGUCAUUGUCCACCAUGAAUCCCAAAUCACUCCAAACUUUCCUCAAGAUGUGUAGCUAUCCUACCCAGUAGCCCAUAUGCUACCUUGUCACUCUCCCACUUUGGUCAAAUCCUCUCCUUUAAGCAACUACUCGACUUCUGUUUCUUACACAUGGCCUUCUAGGAACUUAACCACCACAAGACACCUCCCACAUGACCUUCCUCAUCCUUCGCUGCCCAGUUGUUGCCUUAAAUCAAAAUCUAACUCUGUAGCACUUAAACCAAUAGAUCACUACCAACUUUAAACCCUUCAGAAAAUCAUCUUUCUCGAGCCAUCAAUAUCGGGAAUGUCGAUCCGAUCCUGAGCCACUGCACACUACGACCUCAGACAGCCGCUUUCUCGGCAACAUUUAUAAUACUAUGCCCCAAGACAUAGGCAAGCAUCCUACCAUUAUCUCAAUAUUGUGCAAUAACAACUCAUGUGCAUCAUAGCAACCUAUGCAUAGCCUCAAUGCUCUCAGAAGUAUAGCUAUUGAGCUGAAUUGACAUAAUAUCCUUCCACAAGGCGACUAUAAUAGCUUAAUCAAUUACGCAGGGAGAAACAUCUCGCACCACAUCUAUAGUACUAUUAAAAUUCCUCAAUUCUCGAUUUAUAACUAGCGCUUCACGUCGCAUAAAAUUGAAUAGGAAGGAAAUGAAGACAUAAUCCUCAAAGGAAUCAAAUCGCACGAUGAGGAAUCAAGAAAGGGAAGUGCUCUUAACAGCCCUGUAGCCUAUCGAAGAUAAGUAUAGACGUCUCUGUACCGAUCUGCAAGACUCUACUAGACUCGCUCAUGAUUCGUGAGACCUAAGUGAACCUAGUGCUCUAAUACCAUGUUGUCAUGACCCAAAAUCCAUAAAGGUCGUGAUGGCGCCGGACUCCACUGUUAGGCAAGCCAACAAUAAAUGCUUAAUUAGGUUCUCAUUUUGUUACUUUUGAAAUCAUAUUUUCCUUCAAUUAAAUAGCAAAAUAUGGAGUUUACAAAGUAAAUAAUAAUAUUUUCGACAAUUUCAAUACAAGACAACCCAUAAUCACCCCAAAACCCGGUGUCACAAGUGCAUGAGCAUCAACUAGGAAGAUAAAAUAAAAUACAACACUUGUCCAAAAUACAAAUUAGAGAAGAAAAUACAUAAGAAACUUUGAAGGGGACUCUGCUGGCUGCGAAUCGUAAAUGGGAAUGCAGCUCACCUAAGUCUCCGCAUUUAACCACACCUCUGCGCCCGGGAUGCUGCUAGUCAUAUAUGCACCUGCACAAUAAUGUGCAGCAAGUGUAGUAUGAGUACGUAAAUUAACAUGUAACCAGUAAGUAUCCCGCCUAACCCCGAAGAAGUAGUGACGAGGGGUCGACUUCGACACUUACUAGUGGUCCAAUAAUAUCAGGUACAGUAAAUAAGUGAAUGAAUAUGAGCCAAAGUAAAUAUAUGAAACAAACAAGUAUAAAAUACNNNNNNNNNNNNNNNNNNNNNNNNNNNNNNNNNNNNNNNNNNNNNNNNNNNNNNNNNNNNNNNNNNNNNNNNNNNNNNNNNNNNNNNNNNNNNNNNNNNNNNNNNNNNNNNNNNNNNNNNNNNNNNNNNNNNNNNNNNNNNNNNNNNNNNNNNNNNNNNNNNNNNNNNNNNNNNNNNNNNNNNNNNNNNNNNNNNNNNNUGAAACGUACAUGUGACGCGGUUGCACAUAGAUUUCUUAAGCUAUUAUAGCAUUACUCAAUCCUUUUCGAUAUUACGAAGUUCGAACGAAACCUUUUAAAUCUUAAGUUCUUCAAUUUUAACUCCUUUCAAAACAUUUAAUAAGCAGACUAAAUCUCGCUCCCUCUCAAGGCAAACAAUAAACAUAAAUCAAUAACAAUAUCAACAAGGCAUGAUGUGAGCCUAAAACUACCCGGACAUAGGCAUAGCUAGUAGCUACGUAUAGACUCUCGUCACCUUGUGCGUACGUGGCCCCCACAAAUAGAAGCACACAAUAAUUUAGUUCACCUAUGGGGUUAAUUCCCCCUUACAAGGUUAGAAAGGAAACUUACCUCGCUCCGAAGUUUUAUAACCGGCUCCCAAGCCAUUCAAUCAACUCAAAUCGAUGCCCAAAGCUCCAAACCUAGUCAAUAAAUGAGCAAAUCCAUAAAUAUAUACUCUAAUACUCAGUAUAAUCCUAUUUACAACAAUUCCCAACUCUGUUCGAAAAGUCGAUAAAAUCACCCUCAGACCCACGUGCCCGAAUUCCGAAUAUUUUCGAAGAUAAUCAUUACCCAUAACCUUAUGAACUCAAAUAUAUGACUUAUGUCCAAUACCAUGCUCCAAUUCUUGGUAAAAAACUAAAAAUACCAAAUUCUAGGUUUUCUACAAAAACCCCCACAAUUUCUACUAAUUUUCAUGUCUAAAUCCAUAUAUAAACCAUGUAUUUAACUUACAAUAGGUGGGAAUUAACUUACCUCCAAGUUUCUAGGUGAAUGCUCCUCUCAAGAAGCUCUAAAGAUCGUCCAAGAGUGAAGAAAUGAGAAAACAAUGCUCAAAUCCCCGCUUUAAACACUCACUACCCAGCGAUCAUCCCGCCCGCAGCUUCGCAUGAGUCAAAAUCCUUCGCGCCUGCGGUGUCCGUGCCCACGAAAGAUUUCUCGCACCUGAGGCUUUUACCCGCGGAAAAAUUCUUUGCGCCUGCGAUGCACUUUUCGCUCCUGCAGCUUCACACUUGCGGCCCUUUUUGCGCAGGUGUGAUCACACCAGAUAUCAGCUGCCUCAACUCUUCUUUAAAUUCCAAAUUCAAUCUGUAAACCACCCGGAAUCCGUCCGGGUCCCUCGGAACCUUAACCAAUUAUACCAACACGUCCCAAAACACAUUACAAACUUAUUCGAGCCUUCAAAUCACAUCAAACAACGUCGAAUUCAUGAAUUGCACCCCAUUCCAAGCCUAAUGAACUUUAGAAUUUCAAACUUCUAUAUUCGAUGUAGAAACCUAUCAAACCACGUCCGAUUGGACUCAAAUUUUGGACACAAGUCAUCUUUGAUAUUACGGACCUACUCCAACUUCCGAAAUCAAAUUCCAACCCCGAUAUCAAAAAGUCCACUCCCGGUCAAACUUCUCAAAAUUAACCAAAUUUCCAAUAUUCUCCAAAUGACCCCAAAAUGACCUACGGACCUCCAAAUCCACUUCUGGUUGUGCUCCCAAUACCGGAAUCACCAUACGGAGCUAUUUCUAGACUCGGAAUUCCAAACGGACAUCAAUAAUAUUGAAAUGCACUUCAACCCAAAUUUGUGGAAUUCUUCUAAAAAUGCUAACCUCCACAAUAGGUGCCAAAAAGCUCCCGGGGUAUCCAGAACCCGAUCCGAACAUACGCCCAAGUCCGAAAGCAUCACACAAACCUGUUGGAAUCUUCAAAUCCCGAUUCUGAGGUUGUUUACUCUAAAAUCCAAUCUUAGUCAAUUCUUCCAACUUAAAGCUUUCGAAAUGAGAAUUUUCUUUCCAAUUCAACUCUAAACUUCCCGAAAUUCAAUCCCGACCACGCGUACAAGUCACGAUACCUGAAGUGAAGCUGUUCAUGGUCUCAAACCGAAUAACGAUGCGCUAGAGCUCAAAACGACCGGUCGGGUCGUUACAGUGAUGUUCGGCCAACAAAAUGCAUAUAUUUAAUCAUUGUUGUCUCAUAUUCUAGUGCUUUUAAUCAUCUUUUGAGUACUAAUUAUAUUAUUUUAUGCUUAAUAUUAUAUUCUAACUGUGUAGGAAUAAAGCGAUGUGAAGAUAAAAAAAUUUGGAGAAAAAGUAAAUAAAACGCGAAAGAAAACAAAAGGAAAACAAACGAAUUAAAAAGAAGGACAAAAAUGGGGGACAACCUUUGGUAUUUGUCCCCCCAAGUGGAAAACAAGAAAGAAAUGAAAUAUGAUUUAAAGAGGAGGUAGAAAACUCAUUGGAUCCGGUGCCAGUCCAAAGCCUCGUGCUGGCCUGGAUGCGGCGUUGCGAGAUCUUUCCUAUUUCGCUCGGGACAAGGUUAUUUCGGCCCAACACGGUCCCAACUUGUAUAAAAAGGAUUCUAAACCUAAUUUGGAGGAUAUAUAACAUAUUUUGGGAUGAGAAGACGCCACUUUGGAGGGGUGAACACAAUCCACGCUUGGAAUAGGCUUUCCACUAAUUUUUCUUCUCUUCUCUUCCUUUAAUCUCAUAGUUUAUUAGUUCUAGAAUUGUGGGGGCUACAUGAAUGUUGUAUUUGAAUUGUUCUUAUUGCUUUAUCAUAUUGAUUUAUUCAUUCAAUCUUGUACUUAAUUAUUUGAUUGCUUGAUCACCAAUUAAAUACUAUCUACAAAUCUAGGAUUGAACUCGAGAGAGAGAAAAUUUUAGAUUGCAUAUAGAACUGAGUAGAGCAAGAUCUUAAACCUGAGCAUCGAGAACGGAUUUGCUGGUAGGAUAGGGAUAUACCUAAUUGCCUUGCUUGGUUAUUAUACGGAAAUUAUUAAUGUGUUCUUGUUAAUCCUAAUUCCAUAGGAAUAUAGGCUUUACGUUAGCUUAAAUAGGCGGGUAGUACUUCAGGAGAAUACUACGACUACGAGUAAUAUUAACCCUAUCAAUUAAUAAAUCAUAUAAAUUAUUAGACAAUUUAAGUGGAAAACUCAACGGGAUUGUUAACUAACCCACAGCUCUGGAAUAUUUUCUCCCAUUGAAUUCGUCUCUAAGUUUGCAAACUUGUUUUCUGUAAUUGCUUAGUUUGCUACUCUAGAUUAGUUUUAGUUAAAUAUUCAAACUUUAAAAAAAUACUUGAAUAGAUUAUUUGUCUUAGAUUAAUUUAGUAAAUAGUUAAUUACAAGUCCCUGUGGAUACGAUAUCUGGACUUACAAUCCUAUAUUACUUGUACGAACAUGUAUACUUGCACAUGCAUUUUAGGAGUAACAUACAAUCGAGACUUCCUGGGGCCACGUACGAUUUAAUGAAUACAUAAGCUUUACCGAGUACUCUAUGAGGGCGGGUACAAUAUGAUAUAAUAUGCCCCAAAGAGUGGUUGAACAUGAUAUGCGAUGAUAUGUCUUAAAGAGCGAUUGAAUGAUAUUAUAUAUAUAAUGCAUAACCCCAAUGAGUGGCUUGACCUUUUUUUUUCAAAACUUCCAUACAUUUAUGAUUUAUGGUUUCCACAGUAUACAACCCUGUGGCUUGUCUUCAGCACUCAUGUUGAAAUUGUGCAUCCAUAUCUCUUAUGUUAUGCCUUUGGUUUACAUACAUUAUCAUCCUUACACAUUCAGUACAUCUUUCAUACUGACGCCCCUUUCUUUUGGGCAUUCUGUUCAUGCUCACAGGUACAGAUAGGCCUAGUGACGUCCCUCCUCAAUAAAGUGCACGUUUCGGCUAUUGGUUGUCUUACUCCACUUCUCUAGAGUAGAUGUACAGAAGUCGAUAGAUACCAAAAUAUAUGUUUCUCUUGUUUUGGGUAUGUUGGGGGCCUCUCUUGACCAAGUUAUGUAUUGCGGCACUCUUAGAGGCUUACGGACUAGUGUCCGGUGUGUAUGUAAAUGUUGAUUAUGACUCUACUGGUAACAAUUGUCUAUAUAUAUAAAAUGUAAAGUUUCUUCCACCAUCAGUUGUGAAUAUUUUUUUAUGUUGGUAUUAUACUUGGAGGCCUUGUUCGCCUAGAUUUCAUGUUGAAGGGUCUAAGUAUGGACGUUGGUUCACACGGGCCGUCGGGCGUCGUGUGCCGGUUGCACCUCCCGAGGUUAGAGUGUGACAAUUAUCAUGAGGAUGAGUACAUUUUAAGGAUAGUUCAGAAGGUGUGAUAACUAGUGCGACAUGAGCUUAUGAGGAGAUUCUAUUGGAUAACAGCGCGACAUCAUGGCAGUUAAGAAGGAAGAGUAUUAUGGGUUAUUAGAUGAUUUUUUAUGGAUUCAAGCAAAGUGGGGGAGUCUACUAUCGAUGAUUAGGUCAUAUGGACAUGUGUUAUUAUAGAUCCUGGACUAUGAUGCACUUGUGAACUAGCUAUAAUUUGAGAAGGGUGUCAACGAGAAUGAUUUGGGCAAGGAAUUUACUAAAUACAUGGUGUAUUACGCCUUAUUGAUAUAUGGAGUUUAUGGAGUGGCUCAAGUUUGAUAUUCCUUUGUGGAUGUAGUAUGCAGGAUAAAGGAAUUUCUCGGUUGCUUAUUUUGGGGUAUUCAUCUCCUAGCAGAGCACUAGUCGUUUAACAUGUUUGGCUAUGCAUUCAGGACUAGGUCAGAAUGGGUGACUCUCGAGAAUAGUUCUAGUGGAUUCAAGAUCCAAGAUGUGGUACCUAAGGAUUUUUCGGGUUUGUUGUGUGGCUAAGUAUUUGCAUUUUUCUUUGGAUUGUGAAAGAGGCUUGGAAUAAUUCUAUGUCAUUAUUGGUUCUGCGAUGCAGUGUUGGAGAGAUGGAAGAAACAACUUCAGAUUCAUUAAAGGUAUUUUGUGGCAAGCAUUUCAGUUUGAUGUACUUAUGGGUUUGGUAACCUACGAGGUUUGAGGGAUUGAAUUUUGGUGAGUUGCUUAUGUGUAAAUGGGUUUUGACGAGUUCAUGAUGAUUUUGACCAUGACUCGAGGCUGAUGCCUUCUACGGGGUGGAAAGUUUGUUGUGAGUUGUAAUUUUCUCCUAAAUUGAGUUAAGCAGAAGGCUUUUGGUUGAUGGAGUGUUUAUGAGGAGGGCCAUCGUACACUUGAUUCAAAGUUGAUAACAUGAUUCUCGUAUUCUUGUAUUGUGGCAUGAUUGAUGCGGUGAAACGUGUGGGAUUGAGAUUGAAUGGACAAGGUUUCAAUUUAGGUUCGAAAGGAAAGCCAUGAGUUUUGGACAUCAUAAAAGAUUUCAGAUGCUUAAAAGAAUGAUAGCAUUAUCUUGUAUCGCUUAGGAAGGGUGCGUGUUGUAUAAGACGCAUUGUAUAUUGACUUGAUGAUGCUUGACUAGUACUACACAGAUCGCAUGGUUUGUAACCAUUGAUGUUCAUGUUUUGUUACAUGACACAGAAGAUUAUGGGAGUAUUUCUCGUGAGGUAAUUGUGUAUGAGUGACGUAUCUGUCAUUUAAGUGAGAGAGUCAGAGAUCAGGUACGGAGAUUCCUGUAUUCUUGAGGUUUAGAGAGUGGACGUUCUCAGAGGCAGACUAUUCCUUUGAUUGCAGACUAUGAAUGUGUGUUAAGGGUUUGAUAGCUGAUUUUAUGUAUCACGGAUAGGGUCACUAUGAAUAUUUGGAAGAUUAUUUACCUAUUUUGGAAUGAUCGAAACUAGUUUUGGAGCCUAUUGGUAGGCCUAAUGAGUAUGUGUAUUCUACAUUGGGUUGAAUUUGCUUAUUCAGCGUUGCUUUUGCUUGGCGUGUCAUGGGGUGGAACUGAUCUUAGUCGCGCUUUGAUCUAUUUCAUGUGUUACUCACUUAUAUUGUGAUGGCUUAUGAGACUGCUUGAUUCUUACCACGCAUGUUGCGUCCCUAUUAACGCCUUGUGGCGAUAUAUGAGUGAGAUGGCUCUUGUGAUGUUGAUUUGCUUAUUGCACCGUAGAUGUGCUUGCCUUAUUCGUAGCGCGUAUGCUAUCCAUCUCCCCAAGGUUAUGUUUAUGAACUUUGGGCGCUUGUUUUUCAUACGCAUGUGUUUGGUAAGUAUAAAAAUUUUGGCUCAAUGAGCAUUCCCAUGUGGAUUUGUAUGAUGUUGGAUCGGGUUGCACGCUGCAAGGGAGUUAUGUUGGGAUAUUCCUUAUGCUCAUUUAUUGUAUCUUGUUUCUUCCUUGUGGGAUGGAUUCAUAGCAUUGUGCUUUUGUGGUUGUAUCUGUUGAACUUAUUGGAUAGUUCUCUUAUAUCAAUCAAUUCAAGGUAUGUCAUAGUCUAAGCAUUUCCCCGAGCAUGAAUAAUACUCGGUAUACGCACAUGGGCUCAACCCCUCACAUAUGUGCCAUCCAUAGCAUGAAGCAAUCACUAAUAACUCAGGCAACUAGUGCAUUAAUGUCACAACCCAAAACGACCAACCGGUAGUGAAUGCGUCUAACGCAUUUGUUAGGCAAGACGAACACAAUAAAAACGGAUCAUAAUAACAGAAUUAAUGAAAAUAAUAUAAUCCAAAUUCAACUAACAUAAAUAACGACGUCAAUACAUAAAAAUCCACAAGAACUGGUAAUACAUAGUCAUUAGCUCUAACAUAGAAGUACAAUUUUCGAAUACAAAAUGAAAAGACUAUCUGAAUAAAAGCCACAAUACAAAAAUAAAAAGAGACGCCAAAGACUACGGUCAAGACGCACCUCUACCUCGUCUCUCAAACAUAAUCACAGCAACAAAACACAACAAAUCACGGUUCGGUCCAACACCUAAAUCUGCACAAUUAAGUGCAGAGUGUAGUAUGAAUACAACCGACCCCAUAUACUCAACAAGUAUCAUAACUAACCUCGACGAGGUAAUAGAGGCAAUAGUUAUUUGUCACGACCCAAAAACCCACCGCAGGCGUCGUGAUGGCACCUAGUCUCUAAGACUAGGUAAGGCGAUUACUAACAACGAUUAAGCCAAUUUUAACAAUGAUAAUUUGAAACAUAGUUUAAUAUAAAUGCCGAAACAAAAGUGGAAUAAGCCUACACAGCAAUAAUCGUAACAACCUCCCAAGAUUGGUAAUACAGAGUCACGAACUCUAGCUAAGUACAUGGAAAGAUUUCAAAGAUCGAAAUACAAUAUUGUUCAAAUGACAACCGAUAGUACAAUAUAAGGAAAGGAAUCCAAGGGACUACGACGACCAAGAAGCUCUACUUCGAAUCCUCGCGAUCAGCAAGCUAACGAUGCUUGGGUCCGAUAUCUCCAAAAUCAACUCCCCAUCAAACCUCUCAACUAUCCCAAACCUUCAACUUUCCAAUUUUCGUCAAAAUACAACAAAUCAGCCUACGGACCCCCAAAUCCAAAUCCGAACACACACCCAAGUCCAAAAUUACCAUACGAAGCUAUUGGAUGCAUCAAAACACCAUUUCAGAGUUGUCUAUAAUAAAGUCAAACUCCGGUCAAUUCUUUUCACUUAAGCUUCUAAAAUAAGAAUCAUCCUUCCAAAUCCAUCCUGAAUCAUCCAAAAACCAAACUCGACCACACAUGCCAGUCAUAAUACAUAAUACGAAGCUGCCCGAGACCUUUAGCCACCGAAUAGGACAAUACUGUUCAAAUGACAACUGAUAGUACAAUAUAAGGAAAGGACUCCAAGGGUCUAUGACGACCAAGAAGCUCUACCUCAAAUCCAAGCAAUGAACAAGCUAACUCUGCCCGGGUCCAAUAUCUCCAAAAUCCAGUCAAAUCACUCAACCUUCCCAAACUUGCAAAUUUCCAAUUUUCACCAAAAUACAUUAAAUUAAUCUACGGACCUCCAAAUCCAAAUCCAGGCACACGCCCAAGUCCAAAAUCACCAUACGAAGCUAUUCGAAUCAUCAAAACACCAUUUCGGAGUUGUCUACACAAAUGUCAAACUCCGGUCAACUCUUUACACUUAAGUUUCUAAAAUAAGAAUCACCCUUCCAAAUCCAUCCUGAAUCGUCCGAAAACCGAUCUCGACCACUCACAUCAGUCAUUAUACAAAAUACGAUACUGACCGAGACCUUUAGUCACCGAACGGGGUGCUAAUUCUCAAAAUAACCGGUCUGGUCGUUACAUUCUCCCUCUCUUAAACAAAUGUUCGUCCUCGAACGUGCCAAGAACCAUUCCGAAGUCAUGAAAUCACUGGAAUGAACUCACCAUACAUAUACUCGCAGGUAAUCCCGCGUCACCCCAAUCCACAUAGGCCCGACAACACCAUCUCAACUGAAAAUUAUUCCUCCCACCAACACUAAUAAGCCUUAGAACUAAAGUUUUCACCAUCCGAUCAUUUCCCAAAGACCCGAUUCCCACAUCAACACACGGUAUCAACCUCAACUAACUGCAACAACUCAUGCCUACACCCACGAGGUACAACCACACCAUGUAGCACGUCACACAUAUGCCCAUAACGACAUCUCUGACCACCAUAGCUGCCCAUAAUCAAAUCCUGCACCGAAAUUAACCUCAUAGCAGUUAUAACCAUGUUCCAAACCUUCACAACACUAACAACCAUGAAAGUAACAUGAAGAUCCCAUAACCAUUCACUCAAAGCAACAAGUUUAUCUAAUGCCACCUGGGCGUACACCUCGCAAGCUAAAACCCAAAAAGCACAACGCGAAUAAGACUAAAUGUGAAAAGAAAAACACAUAAGAGAAUUAUAAAACAAGCCCGACAUGCACAAUUCCCUAUUAGUACCAUACUACGAAUCAAUUCCACAAGGGAGAAUCAAAACAUAUAAACUAAUCACAAGGAUCUCAUCCUAAUACAACUCCACCAUGGCACGUAGCCCGGUUCAAACAUAUAAAACCACAUGAAAAUGCAAAGAUCCCAUGCUAUGUCCUCGAACGUGCCAAGAACCAUUCCGAAGUCAUCAAAUCACUAAAUGAGCUCACCAUACAUAUACUCGCGGGUGAUUCCUCGUCACGCCAAUCCACAUAGGCCCGACAACACCAUCUCAACUAAAAAUUAUUCCUCCCACCAACACUAAUAAGCCUUAGAACCAAAAUUUUCACCAUUCAAUCAUUUUCCAAAGACUCGAUUCCCACAUCAACACACGGUAUCAGCCUCAACCAACUGUAACAAAUCAUGCCUACACCCACAAGUUACAACCAAAUGAUGUAACACAUCACACAUAUGCCCAUAACGACAUCUUUGACCACCAUAGAUGCCCAUAAUCAAAUCUCGCACCGGUAAUUAACCUCAUAUCAACUAGAACCAUGUUCCAAACCUCCAUAACACUAACAACCAUGAAAAGAACAUGAAGAUCCUAUAACCAUUCACUCAAAACAACAAGUCAUAUCUAACGCCACCUGGGAGUACACCUCGCAAGCUAAAACUCAAAAAGCACAACGUGAAUAAGACUAAAUGUGCAAAGAGAAACACAUGAGAGAAUUAUCAAACAAGUCUGACAUGCACAAUUCCCUAUCAGUACCAUACUACGAAUCAAUUCCACAAUGGAGAAUCAAAAUAUAUAAACUAAUCACAAGGAUCUCAUCCUAAUACAACUCCACCGCGGCACGUAGCCCGGUUCAAGCAUAUAAAACCACAUGAAAAUGUAAGGACCCCAUCCUCAACUACGAUACCAAGGGACUAUGAUGACCAAGCAACUCUACACAAAAAAGGAAAACUUUUAAAGGUAAUUCCCAAAGUAAGAAACAGCAGCAGAUGUAUAAACCAAGACAACAAAAUAAUUAACAGGCUAAUACUGUGAAUGAAUCUAGGAUCCAGACUCAUAGCUGCCCGCUCCCCUUCCCCCCAUAGCAAUCUUUAUAUUAAAGAAGCACAAGGAGGACUGGAGAAAUGUCAGGAAAAACAUAUAUAAACCAAGGAAGGGGCACCAUCAGGGGAGGGGAUUUCUCAUGUUUUGCAUGAGUGUGCUAGUGCACAAUUGACUGACCAUAGGGUGGACUGUCCAACCCCUGUUACCACUGCCUUGAUCUCUGACAAUAAGCAGCUAUACCAAAAUGUUGAUGAAGAUGAACUCUGUGAAAUGAUCAGCUCUGAUGAGGAACAAUCUGUGUAGGAGAAUGAACAAAUAAGAAGACUACUGAAAGAAAAAGCCCAUGAACCUGCAGAUUUCAGUAUCCAGACUCUCAAACCCAAAAAUAAGCAUAGCCAAAAGAAGAGGAACUCUAUGAGGAAACAAAAUGCAGGAAUCAGCAUUAAUGAACCUACUGAUAAUAUGCACCCAAAUAUCACCAACACCCAAGGAGUUAUUGUUAAGUCACAAGUAACACCUACUCAUAUUCCCAGAGACCCUGGUAUGCUCCAACCCCUAAAUGUGCCAAUGAACCAGUCUUACCAGGAGAUACCAUCUCAAAGUUGUCUGGACUCCCCAAAGUCAACAGCAGCAACAACAUAUGAUAAGCAAGUAUGGAGUGAGACCUGCCAGGAAUCAAACCUCAGGGAAGAUGCAAUGAAAAUCUUACCAGCUACAGAGCAUAUCCAUAAAAAUCAAGCAUACAACCCACAACAUUCCUUAGCCUCAGACCCUCAAACCACUAAUACAGGGCAGAAUCAAAAAAAACAAAGACAUCUCACUAUUAGAGCACAUAUCUGGGCAGCAGGAUAAUCUUUUUAUUGCAGAAGCAUCAAAAGACACAAUGAUUUAUCACCUACAAACAGAGAGUGAUGUGAUUACAAAACUAGAGGAACAAAAAAUGAGGUCACAGUGGUGGAGAAGUCCAUGCCAAUUGCAUGUGCCUCAGCUACUGGAUCCCCAAUUCAGAUUCAAUUGAAUGUGCCAUUGAUACCUCCAAACCAGGUAUUACAUGACACCAUUACACACAAGGAACUCCCUAUUGAGAUUCAACAAACUACGCUGGAUAAACAACAUAGGGAAGAUGAAGCUGAUGAGGAAUCAACUGCUGGGAACUUCAAAGAUAUUGCAAGAGAAGGGGACCUGUCACCUAGACUAACAACCAGAAAUGGAAAGAAAGGCAAAAAGCACACCCAAGCUAAGGGAAUACCUCCACCAACAAGAACUCUGCCCAGGAGGGCAGUCUCCACAAAUAGAUAAUGAUCAAGACACUCAUCUGGAACAUAAGGUCUGUUAAUACUCAACAGGCCUUUCAAAAGGUUAUCAACAUGCAAAAGCAACACAGAUUUUGUAUUGUAGCACUGUUAGAACCUUUCCAGAAACAAGGGUUCAUACACUAUUACAGGACAAGACUGGGAAUGGAAACUGCAUUAUCAAAUAUCAAUGGAAAGAUAUGGUUAUUCAUUGAUGCUACUGUGGACUGGGAACUCCUAAUAGACACUGACCAGCAAAUAACAAUCAAAGUUCUCUAUCAAGGAAUUGGCAAGCACAUCAUCAUGACUGUGGUAUAUGUAAAAUUCUCCUCACUUGAAAGAUUAGAGCUAUGGAACAAUUUAUAUUGCCUGGCAUCUGAUAUGGAACUCCCCUGGCUAGUUGGAGGGGACUUUAAUGUAAUUCUUAAUGAAGAAGAGAAGAUUGGAGGACUCCCAGUGUAUCCACCUGAGUAUAAAGAUUUUGCUUUCUAUGUCAACUCUUGUGAAUUAUUUGAUACUGGACACACAGGCAGUCCCUUCACAUGGUGGAAUGGUAGAGCUAAUGAAGAAUGCAUUUUCAAGAGAUUAGACAGAAUUUUUGUCAACCAAAAAUUCAACUCAUUAUUCCCAAGGAUUGAUGUUGAACAUCUCAUAAGGAUUGGGUCUGACCAUGCACCUUUGCUAAUGACAUGUGGGGAAGAUGUUGCUCACUUUAUCAAACCUUUCAGGUUUCUCAAUUUCUGGACUACACAUGAAUCCUUCAAUGCAGUAGUGAAACAAAACUGGAUUGCAGACUUUGUGGAUGACCCUUUCCUUAUGUUCAAAUAAAAAAUGAAAAGACUGAAAGCAGCACUAUCCCAUUAGAGUAAAAUCACCUUUGGGGAUAUUUUCAAGCAACUGACAAUUAGAGAGGAUAUUGUCAGGAUAAAGGAGAUUCUUUUUAAGGAAGAACCAACUACUGAGAACAGAAUUAUACUACAGCAGGCACAAGCUGCACAAAAGAGGUACCUGAGCUUUGAAGAGCAAUAUGGGAAACAAAAGGCAAGCAUGAAAUGGUUUGCUGAAGGAGAUAGAAACACCACUUUCUUCCACAAUCAUGUUAAAGGAAAGAGACAGAAAUUGCAACUCAAAAAGAUUCAGAAUGCCAAAGGAGAUUGGCUUGAUGCCCAAGAGGGUAUUGGUAAUACUGCAACUACAUUCUUUCAGGCACAAUUCACAGAGGAAGGACAACUUACCAACACUGAACUUCUAAAUAAUGUCCCUUCCAUGAUUUCCAAUGCUCAAAAUAGGGAACUUUGUAGAUUCCCAACAAUUGAAGAAGCCAAGAAUGCAGUAACAGCACUGAGUGGGGAUAGUGCAAGUGGGCCAGAUGGCUUCACUAGGCUAUUUUUCCAACACUGCUGGGAUAUUGUGGGAGAGGACAUAUAUAACAUGAUACAACAAUUCUACACAGGAUCACCACUUCCAAAAUCCAUAACACAUACUAACCUAGUGCUAAUUCCUAAGGUUCAGCAAGUACAAACAUUCUCCGACCUAAGACCUAUAAGUCUUAGCAACUUCAUCAAUAAGGUGAUUUCAAGAGUGGUACAUGACAGAAUGGAGAAGAUUCUUCCAUUUCUAAUCUUUCCUAACCAAUCUGGUUUUGUGAAAGGAAGGAGCAUUUUUGAAAAUAUCUUGCUCACCUAGGAGAUAGUCACUGAUAUUAGACUGAGAGACAAGCCAACAAAUGUGGUCAUCAAGCUUGAUAUGGCAAAAGCAUAUGACAGGAUCUCUUGGAAUUAUCUGAUUCAGGUGUUGAGGAAAAUGGGGUUUGAAGAACACUUUCUCAAACUGAUUUGGAACCUAAUUGCUAAUAACUGGUACUCAGUCUUAAUCAACGGGCAAGCCUCAGGAUUCUUUAAAUCUAGCAGGGAGUCAAGAAAGAAGACCCUUUGUCACCAUCAUUGUUCAUACUUUCUACAAAUGUCUUGUCAAGAACUCUGAACAAACUGUUUGAGGAUAAGAAGUUUAUAGGGUUUGGGAUGCCCAAGUGGACAAACCCUUUAAAUCACCUAGCAUAUGCUGAUGAUACAAUAAUACUUUCAUCCUCUGACCCUUACUCCUUAAGGAAAAUUAUGGAGGUACUAAAGCAGUAUGAACAUGCAUCAGGCCAUCUGAUAAAUAAGGCCAAGAGCUCCUACUACAUACAUCACAAAGUGGCAAGGAAAAUAGUGCAGUCUGUUGGCAUUCUUACAUGUUUUCAAAAAGGAAACCUUCCUUUUAAUUACCUUGGUUGCUCAAUAUUCUACAAUAAAAGAAGGAAGGCAUACUACAAUGAUCUUAUCAAGAAAGUAAAAUCAAAAUUACAUUCUUGGAAAGGGAAGUUACUUUCUUUUGGAGGAAAGACAACUCUCAUAACAAAUGUGUUACAAAGCCUAACUACACACAUCCUCUUAGUAAUGGAUCCCCCUAAUAAUGUUCUUGAGCACUUGCAUAAGACUUUUUCAGAUUCUUUUGGAGCACUAAGGAAGAAAGCAGAAGCAGACACUAGAGGAAGUGGAUGAACAUGUGUCUACCUAAGGAGGAAGGAGGAAUAGGGCUAAAGUCCCUAUUUGAUGUCUCCAAAGCUCGAUUUGCAAAGCUAUGGUGGAUAUUCAGAACCAACAAAUCAUUAUGGUCCAAUUUCAUGUGGAACAAAUACUGCAAAAACGAAAUGCCUGUUGUUGUAUAGUUCAGAGAAGGAUCCCAUGUGUGGAGGAAAAUGCUGGAAGCUAGAGAAGAGGUUGAACAUGAAAUUCUCUGGGAACUAAAUAGUGGUAACACAAGUGUUUGGCAUGAAAACUGGACAGGCAUUGGCCCUCUAUAUCAUGUACUCCCCCAAGAAUUCAACAUAAAUGAAAAAUUACAAGAAGUAGAAGAACUGAGGAAUGGUGAUACCUGGGAUGAACUAACACUUGAUCAAAACUUCCCUGCAGAUAUCUCAGAUCACAUCAGGCACAAUGUUUCAUUUCAUCAUACUACAGAAGAAUUGGACACCCCUCAAUGGAUGCCAACCACAACAGGCAAGUUCUAUGUUAACAGUGCAUGGAGGAUUAUGAGACAGAGAGCAACACAUAACCCAGAAUUAUGCAACUUGUGGACAAAAGUUUUACCUUUCAAAAUCUUUUUCUUCCUAUGGAGAUUGUGGAAAAUGAAGAUCCCCACUGAUGACUUGUGGAGAAGAAAUGGAUAUAUCAUUGUAUCUAAAUGCUGGUGUUGCUCACCUCCUAAAGAAGACUCCUACCAAUACCUCUUCUUGAAGAGUGAAACAGUAAACAGAGUGUGGAAAUCUUUCUUGCAACUAGCUGGAAUUAUAAUAAACAUGGUACAAGUCCACCAAGUCGUUAGAGCAUGGUGGAGUGAACCAUGCUGCCCAAAAUUGAAGCCACUAUUUCAAGCAACACCUGCCAUCAUAACUUGGGAAUUAUGGAAGAGGAGAAAUAAAAUGAAACAUGGGGUAGCUGUUUCAGAAAAAAGGGUAAUUCAUGAAGUGAACAAGACUCUAUUCUUUCUGGCAAGAAGCAAAUAUCCCUAGCUAACAAACAUCCCAGUAUUGUGGACAGAUAUGAUCAGAUACUUUGAAAGCUACAAGCCUUAUGUAGUCAGCUGAAGAGUUAUCUGGCAACUGCCCAAUGCAGGCUGGUUCAAAUGCAACUCUCAUGGAGCAUCUAAAGGGAACCCAGGUCCUAGUUCUUAUGGUUACUACAUAAGAGACAGUGCUGGAGAUUUAAUAUAUGCUCAAUCUACAGACAUAGGACAAACAACCAAUAUAGUUGUUGAAGCAAAAGGAAUCCUAUAUGGUCUGAUGUAUUGUGUGGACAAACCGCUCCAUCCUUUAAUCAUGGAAUCUGACUCUUUGGUGAUGAAAAAGAUCAUUAAAAAGGAAUGGGAGUGCCCAUGGACAAUAAGAGCAGAUGUCAAGAAGAUAAAAGAGAUCAAGGGCAACUAUAAUGUCUUGUUUCAGCAUGUGUUCAGAGAAGGAAAUGCAGUUGCUGACCUGCUAGCUAACUUGGUUUUCUCUUCUGCAGGUGAUUCCAUAUUUAACUCAUUCCAUAGUCUGCCCCCAGUAACAAAGACUCUUAUCAACAUGGACAAAUCUCAAAUCCCUAACAUUAGGGUAAGGGUGGCUAAAAAGUUUCCACAACACUGAUUGAUGCAGUCAGUACCAUAGUGCAGAUAUAUGGGAUCACUCCUAACAGACCAUGAAAUUAAAAGAGAUAAGAAUCACCAACUGCUAUGCCUAAUGGUGAAUCUGCAAGCACAAUUCCCACCUUACCUCCUGCACAUGCUAAUAGAGUGUGAAGGUACCAGAGAUAGGAUAUACCCUCUUAGAAACUAAACAGAGGGGUGUUCCCUCAAGAAUCUCAAGCUGGUCUUAAGCAAGAACAGUUGGAAAAUAGAACACAAUCAGCACACACAACAUACUGGAGCACUUUAACCUAUUUUCUUUAGUGUGCAGGUUGAUGUAGCCACAUGACUAUUGGACUUCUGUAACAAGAGCAAUGUUUGGAAGCUCAUGCUCAACUGUUUAUGCACAAAAACAGUCAAAUGCCACUACUCAACAAUUCAGCUUACAGUAUAUAAAAGCUACAUGGUUGUUGGACUCCAGGAACUAAAGGAAGGUUGAACUAUGGCUGAAGAUCAACUGCUUCUGCACAGCAACAGUCAACUGCCAGUAUUCAACAAGGCAACUCUCAAUAUACAAAAGGUGCACACAAUUGGAAGAUAUCAAUACACUGACCAGCUACAUUAUGGGAUUACAGUAUCCAUUAUUCACAUAAGUGUAAGGAUACAGAUAUGAUAUGCUACUUGGUUAGGAUUCAGUAGACCUGAACUGACAAUAUGAGUACAUCUGUUCACACCAAAUGAUAAAAAACUACUGCUUCAUGUUGUUAAACACAGUAUAGUGUUUUAUAAUUUUCUAGUGGUAUUAGUGUGAAUGCAAGCUUAACCUGGAGAUGACAGAACACUAUAUUGGCCUAUAUCACAAAACAUGCAGUACUGCAGUCGGUAUGCAUACUUUUUACAACAUCAAAGGUGGAAAACAUGUUGCCACUACUGCUUCCAUUACAACUGACUCAUUUUUAUCAGCAAACACAUCAUGGAGAUGUCAACAGGGAAUAUCUCUAACUACAAAAGAGGAAAAAAAAAUAGAACAUCAAGCUUCCCAGCUUCUACGCAACAACUAUCAGCUGCCUCUACUCAACAAGACAACUUUCGGUUACAACAGGUGCACACAAUUGGAAGAUAUGACAUGCUACAAAAAUGGAUGCUUGAAUAUUAGUACAGUAUAGUAAUCUAUCAUUGUCCAGUGGUAUUAGUGUGCACGCAUGCUCAAUCUGUAGAUGAGAGAACAUUAUAUUGUACUCAUAUCUCAAGCACACAGUACUGCCACCUUGCUGCAUUCAUCAACUACAUGCAUAAUACCCAUUGAAGAUCCAUUUGAAUACCCAUUGAAGCAACUCUGCUUCUGGAGUAAUGCAAGUCCAAAAUGAAGAUGUCCAAACUGAUCUGCUUUGCAACUACUGGAUUUAAACAUACAUAUUCUGUUGGAUUGCAACAAAAGGCGUCGGGUGAGAGCUUUGGAGGUGCUACAACAAAUUGUUUGCAACUGGUGUGUGCAUUCAUGGUCGUUGGCAACAAUUGGAUGUUACAAAUGACUAGCUUUGUAUUUUACAUCUUCCAUUACGCUACUACUUCAUUAUUUGGUAGCAAUAGCCAUCGGAUCACUUUGUCACAUUAUUCUCUCAUUUCCUUUUUCUUUUUGUAGUUCACUUGAACAUUUUGUAAUUUUGACCCAAUUUGGGAUUUAUUUAAUAUAUUAACUACUAGGUGAAUACACCUAGUAGUAUAUUUGCUAAAAAUAAAACCUUCCCAAACCUGCAAAUUUCCAAUAUUUGCCAAAAUGCAUUAAAUCAACCUACGGACCUCCAAAUCCAAAUCCGUACAUACGCCCAAGUCCAAAAUCACCAUACAAAGCUAUUUGAAUCAUCACAAAACCAUUCCUAAGUCGUCUACACAAAAUUCAAAUUCCGGUCAACUCUUUUCACUUAAGUUUCUAAAACAAGAAUCAUCCUUCCAAAUCCAUCCCGAAUCGUCUGAAAACCAAACUCGGCCACAUAUGCCAUUCAUAAUACAUAAUACGAAGAUGCCCGAGACCUUUAGCCAUCGAACGGGAUGCUAAUCCACAAAACUACCGGUUGGGUCGUUACAUUAUUAAUGAUACUCGCUAAUAACCUACUCAGCUCAUCAAUGCCAUAAGUACAUAAAAAUAAUAUUAUCAAGUCAUAAAUGACGGAUUAAGCCACUUCGGUGUACAAAAAAAAGCAUAACAAGCUCUGUUUCAAUUAACAACCCAGCAUAUAGAGAAGAUUUUCAAAGCAAAGCAUGUAUACAUUCCUGAUCUAGCAUAUAGAGAAGAUAUGCGAAUAAAAUAUGUAUACAUCCUAGGAAAUUGCGAGUAGAGGAGAAAUGCAAUAACCAAAUCAAACACUAGCUAGUUUUCUUCAUACCGUGUAUACACCAUCAAGAGAGAAACAUGAGAGGGUAACCCUAGGAGAUAGAUCCUUAUCCACACGUGGUACGGACAAAUAACGUAUCAUAUAUAAUAACUACACGGAUAACUCAUGUGCUAUCAUAACUUAGAUCGGCAUGGACCACUCACGUGGUAUUAACCUAGUCCAUGUCACACAGAAAGCAUAUACAAGAAUACAUGUACCGAAACAAUGAACAUCAAAUUAUAUACUCAUGGACUGAUAUAUGUGACAUGCUAAGGUGUAGGCACGUGCGAAAUGUACUACCAUAGGUCAAAUCAGGUGAUUACGCCGCCAUAAGAAUAGCAAUUAACAUUUUUGAACAGAAGAUUAACCAACAAAUAAUCUCUAAUAUAAUUCAAUUAGCUCAUAAAGGAGAUACAACAUAAGAAGCACGAUAACAUGAAGUUUAGCAAUCAAUUCAGGGCAUACAAUAGCCUAGUCACUACCCUGAGCGUGGAUAAUGCCCCAGUACACGCACAUGGGCUCAAUUCCCUCACAUGUGUUCCACUCAUAGCACGUAGCCAACACUAAUAACUCAUGCAACUAGUUCCUCAACCAAGUUUAGGUAACAUACUUACCUCAAGCAAGCCAAAUCAAUACUCUAAAAAUCCUUUCCCCCGUAAAUCAACCUUUGGACGGCUCGAACAUAGCCUAAAUAACUUAAUAAUAUCAAUAAAUGUCAUAAGAAACUAACCAAACAAUAAAUCUCUGAUAUUUAACAACUACACAAACUCAACCCAAAAGGUCAACCUCAGGCUCGCACUCUGGAACCCGAAAAAACUUACAAAUUCCGAACCGUCAUUCCAAUAUGAGUCCAACCAUACAAAUUUCAUCCAAUUUUGACUCCAAAUCACGGUUCAAAUCUCGAAUUUACACUUUAGAUAUGUUUUUACCAAAAUCCCCAAUUUUAUCUCAUACAAACACCAACCAAAAGUCAAAAUCAAGGAUGAAACCAUGAAUAAUAACCAAAUCCGAGUCAAAAACUACUUACCCCAAAGAAAUUUAUGAAAUUUAACUCAAAAAUCGCCCAAAUCUAAGCUCCCAAUCUCAAAAUGUGAUAAAAUAACAAACCCCUCAAAAUAAAUAUGUUAUGCCCAGCAAUUUCACUUUUGCGGGAAAGAAUGCCGCUUAUGCGGUACCGGAUCUAUGGAAAAACCAUCCACAGAUGCGGAAGUCACUUACUAUUUGACCUUGCGCUUCUGCGGACUCCACAUCACAGAAGCGCAUCUGCUUUUGCAGAAAAUCUCCGCAUCUCCGGACUUCCCCUACCAGGAAAAAUCCCGCAUGUGCAUAUCCAAGGCCGUAUCUACGGCUUCGCAUCUGCGGCCAAAUUUUUGCAAAUGCGAAAACAUUAGAACUCAACAAACUACAACAAUGCCAACUCAAUCCAAAAUGAUACGAAAUCCAUCCAAAACACACCUGAGGCCUCCAGGACCCCAUCUAAUCACACUAACAUGUCUUAAAAAACAACACGAAACUACUCAAGGCCGCAAAUCACACAAAAUCACAUCAAACUGAUGAAUCGCACCUCAUUUCAAACUUAAUGAACUAAUCCAAAUUUCCAAAUUCAAAACUUACACCGAACAUGCCUAAACAACUUGGAAUGACCUUAAAUUUUGCACACAAGUCCCAAAUGACAUAACGGAACUAUUCCAAAUCUCACAACAGCAAUAUAAACCUGAUAUCAAUAAAGUCAACUCCCGAUCAAACCUAUGAAUCUUCCAAACCUUAAACAUCCCAACUUUCGCCAAAAAGAGCCAAAUCAAUCUAGGAACCUCCAAAUCCGGACAUAUGCCUAUGUCUAGAAUCACCAUAUGAACCUAUUAGAAUCAUCAAAUGCCAAUUCGACACUGUCUACACAUAAGUCAAAGCUCGGUCAACUCUUAUAACUUAAGCUUCCAAGAAUAAAAUCAAAUGUUCCAACUCUCUCUGAAAUCUUCCAGGGACCAAACCAACAAACCCCGCAACUCACGAAACAUAAAGUGAACAUAGAAAAGGCAAUAAAUAGCGUAACAGGGCUAAAAUAGAUAAAAUAAUCCGUCGGGUCAUUACAUUCUCCCCCUCUUAAAUAAACGUUCGUCCUCAAACUAUUAUAGAAUCAUACCUGAAGUGCCGAAAAGGUGAGGAUAUCUGCCUAGCAUAUCAUGCUCGGUCUCCCAAGUUGCUCCUCGACCGGUUGACCCCUCCACUGAACCUUCACCGAAGCAAUAUUCUUUGACCUCAGUUUGCAAACCUACCUAUCCAAAAUGGACAUUAUCUCCUCGUCAUAAGUCAAAUCCUUGUCUAAUUGCACCAAGAUGAAAUCUAACACAUACGACAGGUCCUCAUAGUACUUCCGGAGCAUAGAAUCAUGAAACACUAGAUGAACUCCAGAUAGACUAGGUGACAAGGCAAGUCUAUAAGCCACCUCACCAACCCUAUCCAAGACCUCACAUGUGAACCUCAACUUGGGCUUCUUCUUGAACCUCAUCAUACCCUUCAUGGGCGAAACUCUAAGUAGAACCUUCUCACCCACCAUGUAUGCCACAUCACAAGCCUUCCUAUCAACAUAACUCUUCUCUGUGGACUGUGAUGUACGAAGCCACUCCUGAAUCAAUUUCACAUUCUCCAAAGCAUCACAAACUAGAUCAGUGCCCAACAACCUAGUCUCCCCAUGCUCAAGCCAACCAACCAGAGAAUGACAUUGCCUCCUAUAUAAGGCCUCAUACGGGGCCAUUUGGAUACCUGACUAGUAGUUGUUGUUGUAGAAGAACUCUACUAACAAUAAAAACGGAUCCCAUUGACCCCCAAAAUAAAUGACAUAUGCUCGCAACAUGUCCUCCAAGAGCUGAAUAGUACGCUCAGACUGCCCAUCCAUUUGGGGAUGGAAAGAUGUACUCAGCUCGACCUGUGUGCCCAACUCACGUUGCACUGCUUUCCAAAAAUAUGAUGUGAACUGAGUGCCUUAAUCAGAGAUAAUUGACAUAGUCACACCAUGAAGGUGAACAAUCUCUCAAAGAAAAAUCCGAACCAGCUGCUCUGAAAAGUAGGUAAUCAUGACUGGAAUGAAGUGUGCAGACUUGGUCAGCCUGUCCAUAAUGACUCACACCGCAUCAAAUCUCCUUAAAGUCCAUGGAAGCCCAGCUAAAAAAUCCAUGGUGAUACGCUCCCACUUCCACUCUGGUAUAUCUAAUCUUUGAAGCAAACCACCCAUUCUCUAAUGCUCAUACUUUACCUGCUGACAGUUCAAACACCGAGCAACAUACUCAUCAAUAUCCUUUUUCAUCUUCCGCCACCAAUAAUGUUGCCUCAAAUAACGAAAUAUCUUCACGGAACCCGGAUGAAUGGAAUACUACAAACUAUGGGCCUCCUCAAGUAUCAACUUUCGCAACUUACCCCCAUUAGGCACACAAAUAUGGCCUCGAAGCCAUAAUACCCCAUUAUCACCAAUAGUAACCUCCUUAGCAUCCCUGUGCUGCACCGAAGGACAAGCAAGUGGAGAUCAUCACACUGACGUGCCUUGAUGUGCUCAAGAAAGAAUGACUGUGAUACAACACAAGCAAGAACCCUACUAGGCUCCGAAAUAUCCAACCCCACGAAUAAGUUUGCCAAAGCCUGAACAUCAAAAGCUAACGGUCUCUCUCUGACUUGGAUAAAAUCAAGACUUCUCAUGCUCUCCGCCUUCCUACUCAAAUCAUCAUCCACCACAUUGGCCUUCCCCAGAUGAUAAAGAAUGAUGAUAUCAUAGUUUGUUAAAAGCUCUAACUACCUUUGUUGCCUCAAGUUCAAAUCCUUUAGCUUGAAUAGAUGCUGGAGACUUAUAUGAUACGUGAAAACCUCACAAUACACACUAUAAAGAUAGUGUCGCCAAAUCUUGAGCAUGUAAACAAUGGUUGCUAACUCCAAAUUGUGCACUGGUUAGUUCUUCUCAUGGGGCUUCAAUUGAUAUGAAGCAUAAACAAUCACUCUACCCUUUUGCAUCAACACACACCCAAUUCCAACCCGUGAAGUAUCACAAUAGACUGUAUAAGAACCUGAUCCCGAAGCCAAAACUAGAACUAAGUUGUAGUCAAGGCAGUCUUGAGGUUCUAAAAGCUCUCCUCAUACUCAUCAGAUCACCUGAAUGGGGUACCCUUCUGCUUCAACCUAGUUAAUAGGGAUGCAAUAGAUGAAAACCCCUCCACAAAAUGGUGAUAAUACCAACCAACCCAAGGAAUAUCUGGAUCACGGUAGUAGUAGAAGAUUUGGGCCAACUCUGAAUUGCCUCAAUAUUCUUCAUAUCCAUCCUAAUCCCCUCACUAGACACCACAUGACCAAAGAAUGCCACCGAGUCUAACCAGAACUCACAUUUGGAGAAUUUAGAAUAUAGCUUCCUCCCUCAAGGAAAGGAGCACGAUCCUCAAGUGUUGCUCAUGGUCCUCUCGGCUGCGAGAAUACACCAAUAUAUCAUCAAUGAACACAAUGACUAAGGAAUGCAGAUAAGGCUGAAAUAUAUUGUUCAUCAAAUGUGUGAAUGUUUUUAGGGCAUUGGUCAGCCCAAAAGACAUCACCAAGAACUCAUAAGGCCCAUAACGGGUCCUUAAAGUCAUCUUAGGAAUAUCUUAAGCCCUUAUCUUUAACUGAUUAUACCCUGAUCUCAAGACAAUCUUCACCAAUACCCUAGAACCUUGAAACUAAUCAAACAAAUCAUCAGUAUGCGAUAAUAGAUACUUGUUCUUGAUAGUAACCUUGUUCAACUAUAUGUAGUCAAUGCACAUCCAUAUAAAACCAUCUUUCUUCUUCAAAAAUAGUACCAAUGCACCCCAAGGUGACACACUGGGCCAGAUGAAACUCGUAUCAAGAAAUUCCUAUAACUGAUCCUUCAAUUCCUUCAACUCCACCGGUGACAUGUGAUAUGGUAAAAUAUAGACGGGAUGAGUGCCCAGCACCAAACCAAUACCAAAAUCAAUAUCCCUAUCAGAUGGCAUGCCCGACAGGUCUAUAGGAAAUACAUCUAAGAACUCCCUCACUACUGGAACUGACUCAACAGUAGGAGUAUUAGCACUAACACCUCUCAUGAAGGUCAAAUACGCCAAACACCCCUUCCCAACCAUCCAUUGAGCCUUCAAAUAUUAAAUUACUCUAUUGUGAGUGUGAAUAAGAGAACCUCUCCACUCCAACCUAGGCAACCCCGGCACAUCCAACGUCACGGUCUUAGCGUGACAAUCAAGAAUAGCAUGGUACGGAGAUAGCCAAUACAUACCCAAAAUCACCUCAAAAUCAACCAUACUGAAUAAUAAAAGAUCGACCCUAGUCUCAUAACCCCUAAUGAUAACAACACAAAACCAAUAUGCACGAUCCACCACAAUAGAAUCACCUACCGAUUUAGAUAUAUGAACAGGAAUAUCAAGGGAAUCAUGAGGCAUAAAAUAACGAGCAAAAUAUGAUGAAACAUAAGAAUAAGUGGAACCAGGGUCAAAUAACACUGAAGCAUCCCUGUGGCACAUUGAAACAGUACCUGUGAUCACGGCGUCAGAAGCAGCUACCUCUGGCCUAGCGGGAAAUGCAUAGCAAUUGGCUUGUCCCCCACCUAACUAACCUCCCCCUCUAGGGAGACCUCAAACCGACUCGGUCCCACCCCUAACUAGUUGUGCGGGUGGUGUAGCUACUGAUGCUAGAACUAUAUAAUGUGUGCUCUUCUGUGGUUCACUACUUAGAAGUCUGGGGCAAUCCUUCUUGAGAUGACUUAAGUCUCCACACUCGAAACAAUCCCUCCUCUAACGAGGAUGUUGACCCUGCGACUGACCUUGAUAACCCGAAUAGCUGCUCGUGGAACCCUAAGCAGACAAGCAAUGUAUGAGUUGUGUCUAACUGAUAAACCACGGGGAAUAUGACGAGUUGCCUGAGCAGGCCUAAAAGGACGACCUAUGUUGUAAUGUGACUGGACUCCAGAUGAGGCACUACCAAUACCACCUGAACCACGGGGCCUCUUUACCUCAUUCUCUUCUCUCUCAAGCCUCCGAACAUGCUCCAAGCGUCUAGCAAUCUCAAUCACCUGGUCAAAUCUAGAAUCCAUCUCAGACACUAGAGUCAUACCAUAUCGAAGACAAUAAAUUAGGCCAUCAAUGAACCUAAUGAUCCUCUCCCUCUCAGUAGGGACCAAAAACACUGCAUGACAUGCCAACUCCAUAAAUCUCAUCUCGUACUGAGUCACAAUCAUUCCCUCCUAGCAUAUAUGCUCAAACUCCCUACGCAACUUCUCUCUGCGAGUCUGUGGGGAAAACUUCUCUAAGAAGAGAACUGAGAACUGAUGCCAUGUGAGUGGUGCUGCACCAGCUGGUAUACCUAGCCUUCCACCACAUGUAGGCUAGCCCUGUCAGCUAAAAAGUAGUAAAGUCAACUCCAUUGGAGUCCUAAAGACCCGCAGUGCGAAGAAUCCGAUACCACAGAUCAAGAAAACUCUGAGCAUCCUAUGACUCUCUUCCACUGAACUGGGCAGUAUGAAGCCUCUGAAAUCACUCUAACCUCUUCUGCUCCUCAUCAGUCAAAGAUGUUCCAACCUCGGUCCUAAGCAACAACUGGCUAAACUGGCAAAACCCCUAGUGUCUAAUAACCCUGAGCUUGUUGCUCUAGUGUACGGGCAGCAGGAGUCUGGGCUCCUUACCCAUCCUGAGAAUUAGUUGGUGCAACUGUUAUCAUGCCCGCCUGAGCCAAGCUCGUAUGCACACUCAAGAUCUGGGCUAAAAUCUCCUAAAGACAAGGCAUAGCAACUGGUACUGUCAAUGUCUGAUUUGGUCCAUUGGCUCAACAAUAUCUGAAACCUGCUCCUCCACUAGAGAAAUUGGUGGCUCCACAGGUGCUGCUCUAGCUGUAGCACGGGCCCCACCUCGGCCUCUAACUCGGCCAGGCCUCUCGUGUCCCUACUUGGAAGUGUUGUGCCUGCCCAUCUGAUCUGGCUGAAUGUGUCUUCACCAUCUAUGAGAUAAUAAAAAAGUAAAAGUUCAAACUUCAAAAAUAACAAAUCCACACGACAAGAAUAAAACAAAGCAAAAAUUUUCCUAACAGUUCGGUAGCCUCUCAAAGAUACGUACAAACGUCUCUGUAUCGAUCUGCAAGACUAUACUAAACUUUCUCAUAACCCAUAGAACCUAUGAACUUAGGGCUCUAAUACCAGAUUCGUUGACCCAAAACCACAAAUCGGUAUCUUCGACAAACCUCAAGCGGGACGAGUCAAUAGCAGAUGCAGAUUUUAUUUAAUAGCUGCGCUUACUAGUCGUGAUGACGCCUAACACACUUGCUAGGCAAGCCAAACACAACAAAAAAGGAUCCUAAUAACAUAAUUAAUGAAAAUAAUAUAAAUCUAAAGCCAGCUGACAUAGAUAACGGCAUCAAUACAUAAAAGUCCCUUAGAAUUGGUAAUACAGAUUCAUGAGCUCUAACAUAAAAGUACAAGUCUAGAAUACGAAAUGAAAAGAUUGUCUGAAUGAAAGCCACAAUACAAAAAUAACAAAAGACGCCAAAGACUGAAGUCGAGAUGCAACUCUACUUUGUCUCUCGAAGAUAAUCACAGCAAUAAAACACAACUACUCACGGCUCGGUCCAACACCUGGAUCUGCACAAUUAAGUGCAGAGUAUAGUAUGAGUACAACCGACCUCAUGUACUCAGCAAGUAUCAUAACUAAACUCGGCGAGGUAAUAGAGGCAAGAAUUAUUAAUGAUAUUCACUAAUGACUUACUAGUUCAUCAAUUCCACAAGAAUACAACAAUAAUAUUAUCAAGUCAUAAAUUACAGAUAAAGCCACCUCAAUGUACAAAAAUAAUGUAACAUGCUCUAUUUCAGUUAACAACCCAGCAUAUAGAGAAGAUAUGAAAAACAAGGUAUGAAUACAUUUCUGAUCUAGCAUAUAGAGAAGAUAUGCGAAUAAAAUAUGUAUACAUCCAAGGAAAUUGUGAGUAGAGAAGAAAUGCAACAACCAAAUCAAACACUGGCCAGUUUUUAUCAUAUCGCGUGUACACCAUCAAGAGAGAAACAUGAGAAGGUAACCCUAGGGGGAUGGAUCCUUAUCCACACGCGGCACAAAAAACUCACGUGCCAUAUAUAACAACUACACGAACAACUCACGUGCUAACAUAACUCAAAUACGCAUGGACCACUCACGUGUAUCAAUCUAGUCUAUAUCACACAGAAAGCAUAUACAAGGAUACAUGUACAGGAACAAUGGAUAUCAAAUUAUAUACUCAUGGACUGAUGAUAAGUGAGACGUUAAGGUGUAGGCAUGUGCGAAGUGUACUACCAUAGUUCAAAUCAGGCGAUUACACCACAAGAAUAGCAGUUAACAUGUUUGAACAAAAGAUAAACCGACAAAUAAUCUUUAACAUGAUUCAAUUAGUUCACAGAGGAGAUACAACAUAAUAAACAUUAUAAUAGGAAGUUUAGCAAUCAAUUCAGGGCAUAUAAUAGCCUAGUCACUACCUCGAGCAUGGAUAAUAUCCUGGUGCACGCACAUGGGUUCAAUCUCCUCACAUGUAUGCCACUUAUAAUGCGUAGCCAACACUAAUAACUCAGGAAACUAAUGCCUCAACCAAGUUUAGGUAAGAUACUUACCUCAAUCAAGCUAAAUCAAUACUUUAUAAAUCCCUUCCCGUGUUAAUUAACCUCCGGACGGCUCGAAUCUAGCCAAAAUAACUUAAUAAUAUCAAUAAAAGCCAUAGGAAACAACCCCAAAUAAUAAAGACUAUACAAAGUCAACCCAAAAGGUCAACCUCGUGAAUGGAAAAAAAACACUUCCGCACAAAAACCAACUGGCAAAGAAUGAAAAAUGCUCUCCGUACAAGAGACACGCCGCUACAGUAACGGGUGGUGGUCUUAUGGCCACUGCUUCACCGUCCGGUGGUGGAAAACCACCAGACCUAUCUCAAAAGAUGCGUCUUGAUAAGGCGAACACACCCCCAAUAAGUUUCAGUUCAAGAUUCAAAAUGAGCUGCUCCACAUCUCAAAAACGGAUCCACGAUUACUGUAGCAAACAGUCAACUGGGUAGCUAAUUGAUUUCCUAGCUCGAUUUUGUGUUACACCCUAACAACAGUACCCAAAACAAUACCAAACAAGAAUCAUAUGCUGGUCGUUUGAAUCACACACAAAACGCAACAAAUCUAACAAAGACAAUUCUCAAGAAAACUGAAGUUGUUCAUGGGUGGUUAGACCGGCCAUGUUGUAUGGGGCUGAGUGUUGGCCCGUUAAGAAUUCACAUAUUCAGAAGAUGAAAGUAGCAGAAAUGAGGAUCUUGAAGUGGAUGUGCGGGCACACUAGGAUAGAUAAGAUAAGGAAUGAUGUUAUUCGGGAGAAGGUGCACGUGGCUCCCAUUGAUGACAAGAUGCGGGAAGCAAGCUUAGAUUGUUCGGACAUGUUCAAAGGAGAAGCCCAGAUGCUCCGGUAUGGAGGUGUGAGCGGCUGGUUAUGAAGGGCAUGAGAAGAGGUAGAGGGCGGCCUAAGAAGUAUUGGGGAGAGGUGAUCAGACAGGAUAUGGCGAGGCUCCAGAUUUCCGAGGACAUGACACUUUAUAGGAAGAUGUGGAGGUCGAGUAUUAGAGUUGUAGGUUAGGAUGUAGUUGAGUCUUGACUUACUUCGUACCAUUGUGGGACUAGCCACGUAGGGUUUUUAUCUAGGAUAGCUAGUGAUAAUAUUGUAUUUUACUACUUCGUUUUUCAGUGCAUGUCCUAUUUACUAGCUAUCAUUUUUGCUUUGCAUCUUUCUUCUGCAUUUCAUGGUGUUCCUAUUUUUUCUAUGAUUGUUGUGGUGAUACUAAUAUUGUCUCCUCUUGUCGUUUUGUCUUUUUGUUUUAUUGAGCCGAGGGUCUUUCGAAAACAGCCUCUCUACUCCUUUGGGGUAGGGAUAAGGUCUGCGUACACACUACCCUCCCCAGACCCCAUUAGUGGGAUUAUACUGGGUUGUUGUUGUUGUUGUUCAUGGGAUCCUAACCCUGCAGUUUACAAUGGAAGAAAGGGAAGAAUUUGCUAAGGAAGAAGGAUUACAUCAAGCUAUUGUGAUCAAACUCUCUAAUGGCGCACCCAAUCUGGAAAUCUUAAGAACAUUACUGCCCAAAUUCUUUGGUGUGAAAGGUAACAGUUUACUAGGUUUACUCGCACAAAGACAACUUUUGUUGCGUCUUGAUCAAUAUGAAGAUUUUGUCAUUGUACUAGCACGUAGUGUGAAUUAUUUCUCAUACAAUGGCAAGGAAUACCAAGUUAGGAUUUUUCCAUGGAGUAUUGGUUUCAAUCCUAAUGAGGAAACAUCAAUGGCGGCAGUUUGGAUUUCCUUACCAAGCCUGUCACCAGAUUUGUUUGCUCGUCGUUCGUUACUGUCCAUAGCUGCUACUGUUGGGAGGCCAAUCGCAGUGGAUAAGGUGACGUAAGUGAGGUCGAGACCUAGUACGGCUAGAGUUAGGGUGAUUGUGGACUUGUUGGACAAGCUUCCGAACAAAAUUAAAAUUCAAAGUAUCGACAACAAGACUGGAAAAACUAUUGAAGUUUUGCAGGAGGUGGUGUAUGAUAAUUUGUCGUUAUAUUGUUCUCAUUGUAAGCACCAAGGCCACGAUGAUAGUUCAUGUCGACAGCUCGUUUCCAAAUCUCAUGAGAAUGAUCAGGUUGAUUAAGGUGUUGGUGAUAAGUAUAAUGGUGAUUUGAGGCAACUGCUAAACGAAAUGAGAGGUCUGAUAGAAGGGGAAAAAACAGUUGGAGCUCAAGUUGACUCUACUGGAAAUGAGGCAGUCACAACUAUGGAUGCUCAUGUCUUAAACGUGCCUCAUGAGAGUCAUGUACAAGAUUUGUUUGGUGCAAUACAAAGAAUCAACAGAUGUCAUGGGUGUGGAUAUGCAAAAUAAAAAAUUUGGAGAAAAAGAAUUGCAGAGGAGAUUGGAGGCUGCUCAAGGUCUAGGUGAGGCUGGGCGAAACUAUGGGGGUGUAGGUGUUGAGAAGGUCAAGAAAAAUCAAUUUGGAGCUGAUAAGAGGUUGAAGGAUAUUCCUGCUUCCACUAAUUUUGCAAGGAUGUAUACAACUACUUCUACCGCUUUAACGAAUGUUGCUGAUCGAUCUGCCACUUCAAACAAGCAUGCUGUGAUUCAACAAAUUGCUGGGGCAUCUAGGGAAAAGGAGCCUGCUAAUGAUCCUGGUUUCAACUGUUUUCCAGCUAAAAGUACAGCUGUGGAAUCAGCCUUACAAAAUAACAGUGAUGUGGACAAGGGUAGCAAUCAUGCUGAAGUGAAAAUACCAACUGUGGGAAAGGAGCAAAUACCUGCGCAUGAAUUGCUAAACUUAGGCAAAACUAGUGUAGCACCUUCAGAAAUAGGUGCACACUUCAAUGCACCUGGACAGAUUCAAUCAUCUUUACCAUUCCAUGUUUCAACUGUGCAGGCUGGAUGUCAUUCUCGUCUUACAGCAGAUGCAUUAGGUGAUCAUGUAGAUGUUAUGGAAUUGGAGUAUGCAACAUCUACAAAUCCUAAGGAAGUACUCAGUAGGGCUGUGCUUUCAAAUCUGGAAACUACUGAUGAAGUACAAACAGCUAGUGACCGUGCAAACACUGAGGUAAUUGAACCUAAUGUCACUUUGGAUGUUGAGGAAGCAAAUUGUGAAGCUUUCAAAGGGUCUAGCAUGGGGAAUGUAGAGGCUAAACAAGUACAACGCUCAACAGAAAAGGCGCACGCAGCAAAUAGGGUUUUGAAACAUAUUGGUUCUUUGAAAACAUAUGUGGCUAAAAAUUCUCCUACAGCUGUUCAUUCAAUUUCAAAGGAUGUUGGGCACUUUCUUGAAAUUGCAACGCAUUCAUAAACUUCAAAAAGCAAAUCAGAUACAAUGACUAACAACUGGACAGGGGUGACUAGAUCACCUAACAAUAAGAAAUCACCAGGCCUUCAAAUGCAGAUUGUACCAUCAGCAGUCAUUGGGGUUUCAAACUAUUUUGAUGUUUUGUCAUGCGAGGGUGAGGAUGUUGUGAUAGAGUCUGAAAUUGAGAAGAAACAGCUAGAUGAUGCGACACGACCUGUAACAGAACUGAAUAGCUCUCCACGAAGUGAUAAGAAGCAGAAUAAUACAAAGGACAUAAGUGCUCGACUUGAGAUCGUAACUGUUAACGAUCACACUCUUGGCACAACUCAAUCAACUGCUACAGCAAGACCAAUAAUAAAAAUUUCAAAUCUGGAGCUAGCUAAAAUGGUAAAAGAUGCCCAAGCAGCUAUGAUGCUGAACACAACAACAAUGAUUAAAGCACCUCUAGUAACACUAAAUACUUCAGUCUUUGAGGUACCCUCCCAAACAAUGGAGUCUUUUGGUGAACAUGCAGACGAUUCUGGACAGCAAAUACUUUCUACGGCCAACAAUCAGCAGGCAAACACAGGAAUGAUCUCGCUCUCAGAAGCAUCGACAAAUGAUUUAAGAGACACUAAAGAGCACCAUGGAGCGACAAAUGCAUUGACUGUUAAUCGGAGAACUUGGGCAGACCAAGCAGAAGAGGAAGACGACUAUUAUGCAGACAUGUUUCAUGAAGCUACUGAAGAAGAGGCAGUCCAGUUUACAACAACUCCUCCUUCAAAGGAAGAGGCAGCAAAUGUGCUAAGCGUGCAAGUUUCUACUCCAACAUAUGUUGCUCCAACAAAGAGAGGUUUGAGCCCAAAUGCUGCUGUAUUUGUACCUUCUGGACAGCAUAGCUUGACUCCGACAAACAUCCUCCGAGCUCUGGUAACUCAUGACAUGGAUACUUUAAAGGCUCUUGACAAUUCGAGGACCGAAAGAGGAGCUCUAGUACCAGCACACAAUCCUAUUGACGCUUUUGGCGUGGAAAUGGGUUGAGAUUGGUAUGAAGAAGGGGAAGAGAAAGAACUACUAGAUGUUUGCUUUAAAAAUGUAGCUAGGGAGGGAGACCUAUCACCCAGGAAAAUGAGAAGUGGAUCAAACAAAAAGAAGGCACAUGAAAGACAACAUAGUUGGGAUUGCAAAGCAACACAAGAGGUUGUCAUUAGGAAAGCACCAAUGAGAACUGCAAAGCAAAAGGCGAGUGUCCCUACAACCUCUACAAAGUCAAAUAAAUCAAAAAAGAAAUGAAAAAGUUUGAAGAAUAUUUGAAGACAGUGGAAGAAGAAGCCAAUGAGUUACAAAUUGAAGCGUGCACAAGGUUGAAGAAAGAGGGGCAAGACUCAAUAUUUUACCUUGUUUUAUUUUAUCAUUUUUUAAGUAUCAUCAUUUGUAAUAUCAUCAUAGGGUAUGUUAUAAACUCUGUGAUGAUCAUAGAGUAUUUAGUUCUUUCUAGUUCGUAUUUUCUUCAUGCUUGCUAGUAGAUGAGGUUUAUUAUGCCUCAAUAGGAUUUGUAAGGUAAGGUCUAGCACAGUAUCUGUGUGCUAUAUUCCUAUGCCUUUGGGAAAAUCUAAGCGGCUAUGAGAUUAUAUGCCCUCGUGAGACUUCUGCCGGUAGCUACACCAUGAUCCUCUACAUGAUGCUGUCAUCUUAAGGCAAUGGAGGCGCAGAGGAGUAAUUAUAUAGCCAAGGCAUAGAGGCAACACUAUUGUAGCUAGCCCCCUUACUUGUACUUUUCCGUUGUGGUUUCUUUUUUUCUUUUAUUAUUAAUAAAAUAGCUACUAGGCAUGCCUAGUAGUAUAAUUUGUCAAAAAAAAAGGUCAAUCCCGGGCUCGCACUCCGGAACCCGACAAAACUCAAAAAUUUCGAAUACACAUUCCAAUACAAGUCCAAUCAUACAAGUUUCAUCCAAUUACGACUCCAAAUCGGGGUUCAAAUCUCAAAUUUACACUUUAGAUAAGUUUUUACCAAAAUUUCCAAUUUUCUCCCAUAGAAACACCAAUCAAAAGCCAAAAUCAAGGAUGGAAUCAUGAAUAAUAACUAAAUCUGAGUCAAAAAUACUUACCCUAAAAGAAAGAUGUGAAAAUCUCCUCCAAAAUCGCCCAAAUCCGAGCUCUUAAUCUCAAAAUAUGAUAAAAUAAUCAAACCCUCAAAAUAAAUAUGUCCUGCCUAGCAAUUCUGCUUUUGCGAAUAAAAUACCGCUUCUGCGGAAAAACCAUCGUAGAUGCAAAAGUCAAUUACUUCCUGACCUUCCAUUUCUGCGGACUCCAUAUCGCAAAAGCGUAGCCGCUUUUGCGAAACAUCUCUGUAUCUACGAACUCCACUGACAGGACAAAUCCCGUAUGUGCGCAUCCAAGGCCGCAUCUGCGACCAAAUUUCCGCAGAUGCGAAAACACAAGAACUCAACAAAUUACAGCAAUGCCAACUCAAUCCAAAAUGAUUUGAAAUACAGCCAAAACACACCUGAGGACCCCUUCUAAUCACACCAACGAGUCUUAAAACACAACACAAACCUACUCGAGGCUACAAAUCACACAAAAUCACAUCAAAACCACGAUUCGCACCUCAAUUCAAACUUAAUGAACUAAUCAAAACUUCUAAAUUCAAAACUUAUGUCGAACAUGCCUAAACAACUCGGAAUGACCUCAAAUUUUACGCACAAGUCCUAAAUGACAUAACGGACCUUUCCAACUCUCAAAACAACAAUAUGAACCCGAUAUUAAUAAAGUCAACUUUCGGUCAAACCUAUAAAUCUUCCAAACCUUCAACUUCCCAACUUUUGCAAAAAAUAUCCAAAUCAACCUAGGAAUCUCCAAAUCCAAAUCCGGACAUACAGCUAAGUCCAAAAUUACCAUAUGAACCUAUUAGAAUUAUCAAAAUGCCAAUCCGAGAUCGGUUACACAUAAGUCAAACCUUGGUCAACUCAUAUAACUUAAGCUUUCCAUAAUGAAAUCAAGUGUUACAACUCCUUCCAAAACCUUCCUGGGACCAAACCAACCCUGCAAGUAAUGAAACAUAAAGUGAAAAUAGAAAAGGCAAUAAAUAGGGGAACGGGGCUAAAAUACAUAAAAUGACCAGUCGGGUCGUUACACUCAACCAAAUUUAGAUAAGAUAUUUACCACAAGCAAACCAAAUCCAUACUCUAUGAAUACCUUCUUGCACGAAUCGACCACCGAAUAGCUUGAAUCUAGCCAAAAGCAAUUCGAAAACAUCAAUUAAUACCAUAGGAAUCAAAUCCAAAUGAUAAAAGUCGAAUUUUUAAUCAAAUACUCAAAGUCAACCAAAACGUCAACCUGGGAUCGCACCUCGGAACUUGAAAACACCCAUAAAUUCUGACAACUCAUUCGAAUACGAGCCCAACUAUACAAGUUUCAUCUAAAUCCGACUCCGAACAGAGGUGGAGUCAAAAUUUGAACCUUAUGGGUUCAAGAUUGUAAUUCUUUUAAGUUAUUGGAUUCUAAAUUAAUAAUUUAUACAUAUCCAAUAAAUUUCUUAAGAUAAAUAUAAUAUUUAAAUAAAGGCUACAAGGUUCGGUCGAACCCGUAUCCCACACUAUUGCUCCGCCCCUGACUCCGAAUUAAUGUUCAAAACUCAAGUAUUCACUUUAGAAAAGUUUUGCCAACCCUCCUCCCCCCCCCCCCAAUUUCUCUUUUAGAUUCGCUAAUCAAAUGCUAAAAUCAAGUAUAGAAUCAUGACUAAUAGUCAAAAUUGAGUCAAGAACACUUACCCCAAUCCGAGCUCCCAAUCUCAAAAUAUGGUAAAAUGAACAAAACCCUCGAAAUAUAAGCUUCUGUCCAGGAUUUCUGCUUUUGCGAACCAAUUGUCGCUUUUGUGACAUUACAUCUGCAAACAACACAUCGUAGAUGCGAAACACACUUAACCUCUGCCUCAUCGCUUCUGUGCGACAAAAUCUGCAUCUCUAGUACCGCAGGUGCGCUCCUCAUGCGCCCUCACUCCUGCGCUAGAAAUUCUGCACUACGGACUGACCUGCCCUCGCCCAGAUUAUGCUUAUGCACAUCAUAUGCCGCAUUAGGACCUUUGCACAUGUGCCCAAAGUUUUGCAGGUGCUACCACACCAGAUCCCUGCCAAUUAGCAAUAUCCUACAUAUCCCAAAAUGGUCUAAAACUCGUCCGAAACUCACCCAAGGCCCUCGGGACCUCAUCCAAUCACACCCAAAAGUCCUUAAACACAACACGAACCUACUCAAGGCCCUAAAUCACACUAAAUAACAUCAAAGCCGUGAGUCAUCGAUCAAGAUCAAACUCUUAAGUUCAUAAACUUCAACCAAGCGUCUGAUUCAAGUCUAACUAAUCCGGAAUGAACCCAAAUUUGCACACAAGUCAUAAAUUACCAUAUGAACCUAUUCGAAGGCUCGUAAUCCAAAACGGACAUCAAUUACCUUAAAGUUAACUAUGGGUCAAACCUAUCGACUCUCUAAACCUUUAAAUUUUCAACUUUCGGCAAUUAGCCUCAAAAUCAUCUAAGAACACUGUAACUCAAAUUCGGGCAUAUGCCCAAGUCUAAAAUCACUAUCCAGACCUAAAAGAACCAUAAAAACUCAGAUCUGAGGUCAAAUACACAAAAGUCAAACUUGGUCAACACUUCUAACUCAAGCUUUUAAAUCAAGAGUCAAUCUUCCAAAUCAAUCCUGAAUCACUCGAAAACCAAAACUGACCAUACACAAAAGUAAUACAUCAUAUGAGCUACUCAAGACUUCAAACCACUGAAUGAAAUAUUAAUGCUCAAAACGGCUAUUCGGGUUGUUACAUACCUUAGUCAUAGUCAUAUUUUUCAGUCAUGAUAUUAUAUCUGUGUGUUAUAUAUAUGUGCACUCUUUAUAUGUUAUCUCAUAUUUUGAUAGUGACCUUGUGUGUGUGAUACUGGUUUGAGAUGAGUUGUGUCACGUCGGUAUAUUCUGUGCGGUAUUUUGAUUAUGGUACUGUAAGAUGUUGGCAUAAUGAGACUUGAGGAGAUUGAUGGCUCAUCUUGGGCCAUAAAGUCAAGUUGGUAUUGAUUUUAAGGUGACGCUUGUGCCAAGGCCCCCUAUUAGACUGAGUGAUAUUAAUUGUUCACUUUUGAUUUGAUUGGCGCUUGGGCCAGGGUACCCCCCCCCCCUCCCCCCCUCCUUUCCCCCUCCGGAGUCAGGUGAUAACCCAUGUUACUUUGGGCCCUGUGAGUACGGGCACUUGAUAUGUGCUUAGUGAGGGACUUAUGCCAGGCACCCGUACAGUUCUGAUUGUGUGCAUUUGUGAUGAUUCAGGGACUUUGAGCCAGGUACCGUGAGCAUGCUGAGACUAUCGUUAAGGGGCAUUUGUGCCAGGCACUAUGUAUGUUCUAAGAUUGUGUUUACUUGAUGAUUAAACUAUAAUAUCGUUGAUUUUGGCAUAAAUACUUAUCAUACAGGCAUAGAGUUGUACCUUCCUCAUGCUAUUUGUUAUUUAAACUCUUUAAAGUCGAUGUCUUGAUUGAUAUAUUUGGAAAGCAUGCUUAUUUUCCUCUUAAUGUGACAUAGUUGAACCUGAUAUUAUCGAGUUAUUUUUUAUUUUCGCUAUUAUUAUUAUGUUGUUGUUGCUGUUGGCUGUUGAAAGUGAGUAUUGAACCUUGCUAACCUCGUGGCUGCCUUCAAAUCGAGGUUUGUCUUGCUACUUAUUGAGUACAUGGGGUCGGUUGUACUCAUAUUACAAUGCGCACUUGAUGUGCAGAUCUUCCAAGUGUUACUGAUCGUGGUGGUUGCCAGUGAGCCAUAUCAUGACUUGUUGGAGAUUUCGAGGUAGCACUGUUGUUCCAUUCGCAGGUCUUGAAGUCCUCUCUUUAAUAUCAUGUCAUUGCCGUUCAGUUUUCCAGACAGUAUUGUAUCUUUUUCAGACUCUGUAUUUAGUAUUUUAUAGAGUUCAUAUUUUUGUCGAUACCUGAUUUUGGGAUGGUUUCAAUUGUAUAGUCAUUUGACUUUAGUUAUUUAUGCUUUUUCGCUAUUUGAGAUUUAUUUCUUACUGUUGUUGAAGUUUUUUUAUAUAUUUAUUGUUGGCUUGCCUAGCAAGCGAUAUUAGGCGUCAUCACGGUUCCGAUGGGAUUUGGGGUCGUGGCAAUGAAUGCUCGCAAAAAGCAAAUCUUGGUAUUGACUUAUUGAAAAUCUCUUUGAGAUUUCUUAGAUAAAUCUUUUUAUAUGAGGCCGUUGUUAUGCUUUUAAUCAAGAGUAGUGAGUUGCACUUACUCAACAAAGGGGUGCUUGGUCAAUCUAUUUGUAUAUUAAUGCUAGUUUCCUAUAUAAAAAUAUAGUGCUUGGGUUAAAAUAAUCGGAGCUCCCAUUAGUCCCUAAAUAGGUCUAUCUCUCGUAUGCAUGAUACAUACCAUGUCCGUUCAACCAAUAUAAUGCACGAAACAUGUUCAAAAUGUAUUCACUAAGCUAUUUUCUUUUUUCAAUUCUUUGGUAUAUAUAAAACUUAGUGAAGUAUUUAAGAGCAUAGCAGUUUUCUGAUAACGUGUGUACGCUAGGAAGCCUAUAAUUUUAGCUUUUCUAUUAUGACUGCAUAAUGGGGAUAGACAAAUAACAACUACUAUAGUGGGAGUGUUAUUAAUCCAAACUUAAGGAACGAAAUCUUUGAUUUUCGACAUCUCAUGUAAACGGGUGACAAUGAGAGAGCUCUGCCUGUCAGGGCAGAUCUAUCUUAUAGGGUUGGAACGGUACACCACCGACACGCGUCGGCAAAAAUUCUUAAUAAGUAUGUUGAUAUCUGUGACAAAAAUGGUCAUAUAUAAAAAGUGGCGCCCAAAUUACACAGUGGCAUGUGGGUACCAUGGUUCAACGUUGCUUUUUGAAGUCUCUCAUUUACCGGACGGGUCUAGGUUUUCUUCUUUUAUUUUAAAAAAAAUAAAAAAUCUAGUCCCUAUUUCCUUUAUUCCUUGUUGGGCCUUGGGCCCUCAUCACUUCUCCCUUUUCUUUGGGGAUUUGUAGUCGUACCCUAUAUUUGUGCAAUAUUUUAACUUGUACCCUAUUUUUAAAAAUUAUUGAUUUGGUAGCUAGCGAUAAAAAAAUCCGUAAUAAUAUGACAAUUACACCCCUGACAAAAGAUAUAAAACAUGCAUCACGCAUUAAUCGCGUGAUCUGCAACCUCAUUUGUGAAAAAGGAUCUCCUCCUCUCCUCUCAGCAGCUUUAUCAAAAAAUCAUAAACUUGUCCAAAUUCAUCUUCAGAAUCACACUUGCAUGAAGUUGUUUCACCUUGAAGCUAAAACUCCAUGCUAAUGUAGCAUGAAGUUGUUUCAUAUUGAAACUAAAACUUCAUGCUAAUAUACCAUGAAGUUGUUUCACAUUGAAGCUAAAACUCCAUGCUAAUGCAUGUUGAAGUUAUUUAUCCAGCAGUCUACAAUUUUGUCACGAGUUUUAUCCGAAACUUCAGUCUAAACAUGCUGAAGUUAUUUAGUUCAUUUGCUAAAACUUCAGACUAAAUAUGCUUAAGUGUUUUAGUUCAUUUGCUAAAAUUUCAGACUAAACAUGCUUAAGUUUUUUAGUUCAUUUGCUAAAAUUUCAGACUAAACAUGCUUAAGUUUUUAUCUUGCAGUAUGUAAUUUUCUAAUGAGUUUUUGCUAAUGCAUGCUGAAGUUAUUUUGUUCAUUUCCUAAAAUUUUAGACUAAACAUACUUAAGUUUUUUAGUUCAUUUGCUAAAACUUCAUACUAACAUGCUUAAGUUUUUGUCUUGCAGNNNNNNNNNNNNNNNNNNNNNNNNNNNNNNNNNNNNNNNNNNNNNNNNNNNNNNNNNNNNNNNNNNNNNNNNNNNNNNNNNNNNNNNNNNNNNNNNNNNNNNNNNNNNNNNNNNNNNNNNNNNNNNNNNNNNNNNNNNNNNNNNNNNNNNNNNNNNNNNNNNNNNNNNNNNNNNNNNNNNNNNNNNNNNNNNNNNNNNNNNNNNNNNNNNNNNNNNNNNNNNNNNNNNNNNNNNNNNNNNNNNNNNNNNNNNNNNNNNNNNNNNNNNNNNNNNNNNNNNNNAAAGAGAGAAAACGGGAGAAAGUAUGCAAAAAAUACAUGAAGUAUAAAGCUUGAGGAGCUUUUCAUGCAUUUUUACCUCUCCAGUUCUUGUUUGCAGAGAGGGCAGCAAGAUAUAAUUCUAAGCCAUUGGUCCACACACUUAAGAUGAAAUAUAUGAGAGCAAGGCAAUUGUCUGAUCUCUUCCUUAUCUCCGUACUUUGCUAAGCAUAUACAACAUUCCUGUUGUGACACAAAAACUUGUUUAGUCGUUGAUUUCAACUUUUGUAUAUUGAUAGUAUAAUUACAAAAAGGUCACCUAAACGAUAGCAUCUAUAAAAAGUAAGAUUUGUGAUCUUAAAAGUAGGUCAGAUAGCAUACAUUAUUUAACCUAUAAGUGUAAAAGUUAUAUAAUCUUUGGACUUUGAGUUUAACAUUUAUACCUUAACAAUUUAAAAGAAAUUUUAUACGAUUAGGUCCUUAAAACAUAACUAGGUUAUCUCUUAUGAUAGGUUGUAAAACUUUUUUAUACUGUCAGUAUAGAUAAGUUAAAUAUUUAGACUUUGAGUUUAACUUUAUGCAUUAAAAGUGUAAAAGAAGUUUUGCCCAAUUUAAAAAACAUAAAAGAUAACUAUAAAGCAAAAUACUAUACUGCGAUCAAUGCAUAUAAAUUAAAUCUUUAGAUAUUAAAUUUAAUUCUAUAAAUUGACAUGGUACACAAAUUUUACACGACUAAAUCAUCUAAAAGAUAUCUAGAGUCCAUGAAAAAUAGAAUUAAAGAUCACUUACCACAUUUUCAUUUUCAUUUUCCACACCCGAAUAUUUGGGUUGUUCCUUUUUUCCACUUUCCUUGUACUUCCAACUGGGUAGACUGGAGAGUUGUUCAUCAGAAGCCCCUCGAUCUACGGAUCCCAUGUUCAUGUUGUAGCCUAAAAAGCUACUCAAAAUUGGGACACAGCAGCACAACAAUAGAAACAAUAGGAAGGGGAAAGAGUAGGCGACAGCAUUCCAAGUAAGCAGUGAGAUGCAGAGCAAGUGAAGUUUAGGAGCACGAUGGUAAGACAGAAACCGCGAUUCGAACACCCAAACAUUCCCCAUCACAAACCAUAUGGCAAAGAAUAGCUCAACACCAGUCCUCAAUAUCUCCAUCACAUGCAAUGCCCUAUCAUAAUAUUGUUGAAAAUUUGCAAGUUUUAGUUUAAUAAUAUUUAUUAUAUAUGCUUAAGGAAGAAUGGAUUUUUGCAUUUCAUAUGAUCAAUUAGAGCGUGAUAGAAGAUAUUUCAUAUGAAUGGACCAAGAGUGGAACAGAGGGUAAAAUUAAGCAAUUUCAAAUUAUAACAUAGGAGAAAAUAUGACAUUUUCCUUUUUCUUUUUUUUAUUAACGUCCUUUUCACAUCCCCGCUCGAGUAACAUUCAACCCUUCAUAUGUACAAACACUAUCCAAAACAUCUCUUUAGGCAUCCAUCCUUGGACAAAAAUAGUAUCAAACUUCAAGAGUACAGUAGAGACAGCUAAAAGGGAGGGACAGAAUGUGUACUAAUUAAUCACCUGGAAUAUUCAUCAUGGCUUCUUUGUUGCUCCAUGUCAGAAUCAUCUCUUUGUGGCCUCACAUAGAAUGCCCAGUAGCGCCAGUAAAGCAACAUGACACUAAUAAUACAGCCAAAGGCAUAUCCCAACACCCAUAUCUUCAUUGGCCAAACUGGCUUCUCUUCCUUUGAAACAGCCAGUGUAUAUGAGGCAAUAAUUAUUUGGACACUUAAUGCAAUGCACUCCAUCAUCAUCCAAGUCAUUGAAUUUAAGGGAUUUGAUCCAAGAUCAGAUCUUGAGCCAUUCUGGUAGUGGAAAACCCUUCUUAGGAAACUAAACCACCUUGCUCUUGAUAUUCUCAUCGCCAUUCUUACUAAUAAUGAAGAAGGGAGAAUAGACCUGUUUCUAGUUCCACCCACGCUAGACAUUCUUUCAUCUCCUGCUGCUGCUGAAAUAAUUGGUGGGAAUGAUACAAUAAUGCUCGAAUGGCAAAGCGACACUGGUGUAAGAAAGUAUCGUGUAUUCAUCGGGGAAUAAUAUUUAGUAUGGACCUGAUCGAUCUGUAUUAGUAAUAGGUGACUGUUAUAAUAAACACGAUUUGAUAACAACAAAAAGAAAGUAAAUAUAGUUAAUAUGCUACUAUAACAAGUAAAAUUACAGUAAUAAUGUAGACAUUCUUUACACAGUCAGUGUAUAUAACUUAAAUUCAUACCUAUUAACCGGGAGAAAUUUCCAAGAACUUUCAACUUCUACGUAUGCAAGUUAUGUUUCAUUUUAGCAACUGCAUGGACAAGACACCUUGUGAGUGUGCACAGAAUUCCCAUGCUUAAAAUGAUCUAACACCAGCUAAUUAUUCAACCUAUUUUAUGGUCCAAUUUCAAUGUCACAAUUUAUAUGCUGACUACUACUUUUGAUCAUUAACCUCCAAUGCCAUAUUUCAAGAAAUUCAACAGCAAGGAUAACAGAUAAAUGAAGUGGCUGUACUAUAAAAGUAUGAUAACGGUGAAAGAAAAUAGAUACAGAAAGAGAGAGAUAUGGAAAUGGAAAUAAAAAAAAAAUGCUUAAGAAGAGAAAGAGGCGAUGGGGUUGAAUCAACAUGACAGGGGAAUCUGUUGAAGUCGGGUUCAGAUGGUGACCAAGAAUCGAACAGCUUUACUUUGAUUCCAAGUGAAGUACUUUUAUGAGAUGGUGAGAACCAUACCAUUUGCCUAACUUCCUGCGACGUUAAUUUAAUUUCUUUUCUUUUUGUUUAUUUAGGAAGCAAAGUAAGGCUGUAAGUUUGUAGUUCUUCAAAUGGACAUAUACUCACGAAUUGAAUUGAAUUAGAACAUCGGCAAACGAUAAUUUACUUUUCUGACGUUAACCAAUGGACGAGCCAGAAUUUUUACUAAGGGGAUGUAUUGGUGGAAAAAGUCAUGACACGUGGAACAACAUUAAGCUGACGAGGCAUGACGCGUGGAGUGUCGAUAUAGCUACAAGUGGCAUUCUCAAUUAACUGAAUUAAGAAUGCGCGGAAGAUACGGGAGAAACACCCACGGGGUAGCAUAAGAGAAAAGAACCGAGCCUGACAGUUGUCAAAGGAAAAACAGGAACGGAAUGAAUGAAGACUGCAAAGAAGGGAAGAUACAUGAACCAGAGAUAAAUAAGAAAGGAAAAUCGGGAGCAAUUAUAAGGAAUCUUUAGUCAUAAAUAUGUCAGUUACGGUUAUCUAUAGUAAUGGGCAAUCAAUACAGUUAAUGCCCUUAAUUAGUCCAAAUUAAGUAUGAUAAUAGUUACGAUUGUAUGCUCCUAUAUAAGGAUGAGAAUUCCAUUUGUAAGGACGUGUGACGAUUAUUACUGAAAAUCAUACUACAAAUCUUUGCUUACUCUCCAAAUUUUCAACCUUGAUUUUGGGAAGUAUUUGUCAAUUUAUUCCUCAUUUUUCUUUGUUAAUUAUUUCCAUCAUUUCUUUUAUUUUUCUUAAGAUUAUUGAGAAAGUGAAGUAAAACUUGGUUAUCAGUAACCCGUUUUCUUCUAGAUAUUGACUUUGACCGAAAAAUCUAUUUUUGAUUAAACAAAUUAGUUCCGUUACCGGGAAUCUGAUAAUCUUUUCACUUUCUAAAUUCUACUUUUUAACAAUCAACUAUGUCAACUGCUGACGAAAAUAACCAGUUGAACCCACAAGGUGGAACUCCACCACUCCCUUCUCCAACGGGAUCCCCUCAGCAAUUCCGUGGAGGUUCACCUGAAAGGUCUACAUCGCGCGCUGAUGAUCAACAAGGAGAUGAACAAACUGUAGAGCAGGACGCUCUAAAGCAAUUGAUUGCAGAACACGUGAAUUGUUCUCUACAAGCUUUUGUUAGAGGAUUGCGCGCCACAAACUCCUUAAGAGGCAGAAAUUUCCAAGAACUUUCAACUUCUACGCAUGCAAGUGAUGUUUCAUUUUAGUAACUGCAUGGACAAGACACCGUGUGAGUGUGCACAGAAUUCCCAUGCUUGAAAUGAUCUAACACCAGCUAAUUAUUCAACCUAUUUUAUGGUCCAAUUUCAAUGUCACAAUUAAUUAUAUGCUGACUACUACUUUUGAUCAAUAACCUCCAAUGCCAUAUUUCAAGAACUUCAACAGCAAGGAUACCAGAUAAAUGAAGUGGUUGUACUAUAAAAGUAUGAUAAUGGUGAAAGAAAAUAGAUACAGAAAGAGAGAGAUAUGGAAAUGGAAAUAAAAGGAAAUGCUUAAGAAGAGAGAGUUUUGAUGGGGUUGAACCAACAUGACAGGGGAAUCCGUUGAAGUUGGGUUCUGGUGACUAAAGAAUCGAACAGCUUUACUUUGAUUCCAAGUGAAGUACUUUUAUGAGAUGGUGAGAACCAUAACCAUUUGCCUAACUUCCUGUGACGUUAAUUUAAUUUCUUUUCUUUUUGUUUAUUUAGGAAGCAAAGUAAGGCUGUAAGUUUCUACUUCUUCAAGUGGACAUAUACUCACGAAUUGAAUUGAAUUAGAACAUCGGCAAAAGAUAAUUUACUUUUCUGACGUUAACAAAUGGACGGAGCCAGAAUUUUUACUAAGGGAAGUCAAAAUAUAAAGAAAUAAAUACACAAAAAAAUUAAGAGGAUUACACAUAUAGUUUACAGAUAAAAAAUUUUUUACUUAUCUACACAAUAUAAUUUAUGACACACUUUGGACAAGGGUGGCUCUGCCACUGGUUAACGCUUGUAAGGUCCAUUUUUAUUUUUAAUUAUAGAAAUGCUAACUGAUUAUAUUCGGAUAGCUAUAUUAUUUGGGGAGUAGUAUUUAAUUUGAUAAAAAAAGAGUAUUUUGGAAAUGAUCAUGAGGAGUAACAAUAGUUAACGGAUUGACGAUCAUUUAGGAUAGCAACUUUAGGAUCAUUUAGGAUGGCAGAUGGCCACCAUAUCAAAGUAGCAGUAAGAGCAACUUUAGCAUCUGUGGCCAGCCACUGUCAGAGCUGGUACUUUGAUAUGUGCAAAACAACUAAAUCCUAAGGAGUAGUUUUUGUUAGGUUAAUUUUUCUCCAAACAUACCUUAUACAUAACAAUUUGCAUUUAUGUAUAAUUUCAGUUUGUGUUUAUUUAGGAACGCUUGAAGGGAUUCUCCAAGCUAGGCUAUUUCUGAAUAUUUGUCAUUCGGUCAUGCUCAAUCGAAACCGAUAUAUAUAUUCUGACUUGUACAUUUAUAGGAACCUUCGAACUUAGCUUGUAAUUAAUAUCCUACUAAAAGAUCAAUUCCCUACUUUGCUCGUAAAAAGUUUACCCUUUUAAAGGUUAUAAACAAAAAAGACAGCUUAAUUUGUUGUUCUUGAACAUAUAUCAGCAAUCACUAUCGAAAGAACAACUUGCUUCGACUCGAAAAUUAUGAUGCUUAGGUUUAAAGUUUUCAUGGUUUUUGCAGAAAAACUAUAGAGCGCUGGAGGGCCAUGGUUGGUACUUGGAACUUAGUAGGGUAGACGUAUCAAAAUUACACUAUUUUGACAUCCUUAAAUUAAGAAAGCUCAAUUGUUCUCUAUAUACGUAGCAUCAAUAGGUUGGAUCGUCAGCCUCACUAGCUUGUUGAAACGUUACAUGGCUUCUCCAAACACCACCAAUUAUCCCACUGAUAUUUUAUAUGUCAAUGCCACACAAGAGGGGGUGAUUUGUGUGGUAUCCAAUUUUCGCGUGCACUGAUUAUAGAAGGACCUGGUUCUUCUAAGUAUUCCUUAACCUACUGUUGCUGAAAUAGUAAAUACGAAAAGUAAAGAACACAAGUAUUUUUAUGUGAAAAACACCCGGCUCAAAAGGUAAAAAAAACUACGACCUACUACUCUGUAGGAUUUUUCCCAACACUUCACUAAAUUACUAAGCCAAAACAGCAUUUACAAAAACUCUUUGUAAACCUAAGGAUUACCUCUAAUCCAGUUGUGGCAACCAGUCUCUAACUGUUGCGACAACUUCAAGUUAACUCUAACUUGAAUACUCAGAGUACCUAUUACAAUUGCUUCUAGAUAAAGCUGAAAGGUACAAUUUGAAAACCACCUACUACAAUUGAACUAGAAUAAAAGACAGACGCUUGGAACCAGUUCUUCUAUCUGGUUCAUGUAGCUUCAGGUUCGCACAGUUGAAUCACACAAGAAUUGCUUACAAAAUGCCUUGCUAUUUUGCUCUCAACUCACGUUUAACUUCUGCUUUUGUGCGUGCCUGUAGAAUGAGAACAUCCUGCAAGAUAUAGAGUUAGUAGAAUAAGAAACAACUAGAGUUCUAAUGCUACUCUUCCUUGGUGGAAGAGUUCUAGUUAUCCUCAACUUCUAAACCCUCCCUUAUCUUGGAUAGUGUUCUCUUUGAGUAAGGAGUCAUUUUCCUUAUCAAUUAUGCAACAUUUUCGAUAAGGAGAUAUCUGAUAUAACAAGUUAAGCUUAUCUCAUUCACGUGCAUUCCUUAUGCUAGAAUCUGUCCGUGUUUGUGUACACAGGGGAUGGACCUGGUUCAUGCCUAAGCUUCCUUUGUCAAUCUUCAAAACAAAACUUCUCUUGGGCCAACGAAUUCCCCCUUUUUGAUGAUGACAAACUCUGUGCUUUUCAUAAGCUUAGACCUUGUUUCAACUCAGCUCAACAUCAACACAAUGUUAGAACAUUUUACCUUUUUAAAGUCACUUGUCAUCAAGGACCAGGUUCAUUAGGUUAUAAACAUCAUUGUCCAAAGUGAAAGCACAACCUUUUUCCCCCUUUUUGCAUCAUCGAAAAGUUGCAUAAUAAUGUUAGAUAACCUGAUUUUAAAUAGAAAUUACUCAUGGCCACCGGGACUACAUCACAUGCAAUCAUGGAGUCAAAUAUCAUCAAUCAAUCUAAGGAUAUUAGCCAUCUAAGAAAUAUCAACAAACAAUUAUAGCAAAAGCAGUGAAUUUCAUUGAUUGAUAAGAUCCUACCACAAAGCAUAAGAAGAAAUAAAAAUACCGGAUCAUGAGCAAAAGAAGCAAAAACAAAUCCCGAACUGGGUCACUGGUUGAUCUACACUAGGCUAGGAAGCUUAAGGCUGGGAAGGAGUAGGUUAUUGGUUUUGGGUUUGGAGCAGUUUCAGCAUAUCCUGAAGAAUACUAUCAUUCUUCUCCUUUUCUUUUGCCAACUCAGCUCUGAGAGUAUCUCUCUCAGUCUCCAUCUCUGCCAACUUCUUCUUUAGCCUAUCAAUCUUAACAUCCUUAGCCCCACUUUCUUGCAUCAAAGUUCGCACUUUGCUGUUCACCGGUAUCUUUUUGGAUGAACCAGGUUCUUUAGGAGUGGUUUGGACUUCAUAGUCACAAGCAUUUAAAGUGUUUGCCCCAAAAUGAUCCUUGCUUGUACCAACUUCCCAUUUCUUGAUGGGUACCUUGAAGUGUGCAAGUACAGCAGUGAGAAUAAAGCCAUAGGGUAUGGCGUAAGUCUUGGUGCCAUUUAGAACCCUGUCAAGAAGCCGGAUGAUAAAUCCAUGCCAAUUGAUUUGCCUCCCACUUUCCAAAUAUUCCAUAAGGACCAGGUCCAUGAAUGUGGCAAUGUGCCUCUUUUCUUGCCUUGGCAGCACACAUUUGUUAACAAAUUCGAAUAGCACUUUGUGGGGAGGCUUCAUCUAACUUUUGUAAAUAGUCUUGGGCUCAAGCUCAUCUUCAUUGUCACCAAACUUCCUAGUAAUGGAAAGGGCAGUAGGGAGAUUCUCUAGAUUUGUCCAUUUAAGUUUCUUAUAAUCAUUAUACCCUUCAGCAGAUACACCUAAGAUAUCUCCCAAUUCUUUAUCAUCAAAACUCACUUUCAUCCCAUUUACCACACUGGUGACCCUACCAUUUUUUAUCUCACAAUUUGCUAUGAACUCCACAAUUUCAGUCCUGGCCAGUUUUUUAUCCAUCUGAAGAACCAUGUCCUUCCAUCCUUGCAAUUGUAACUUCUCCAGCAGCAGUAACAUACCUUCCUCUUCCAAGUCCCUUAGGAGUUUGCCUUUCAAGAUGGUUUUCUUCCCAAACUUAACCAUCUUAUCCUUCUCAGCAUCAGAUUCUUCUUCUUCUUCUCCACUCCAUUCCUCUUCCUCCACUAUUUUCACUUUUCUUGGUUUCAAUGCAGACCUGGUUCUUUUUCCCAAAGUAGAUGGCUCCGCAGACUUAGCCUUUGAAACAGACUUCUUUGUGGAAGUCUUGGCUUUCCUUGACUUUGGAGUCACAACCUCCAUUUCCACUAUCUCCUCUUCUCUCGAUGGACCAGGUCCAUCUCAUCAAUUUAAACAGCCUUAACAGGCUCAACCACCUUCUUUUUUUCUUUAGCAACAACUUUUCUCUUACUUUCUGCUAAGGCUUUUUCUAGUUCAGCCUCACUCUGCUUCUUCUGACUCAUUGUAGCUCUUCCUCUUGUAGGAGAAAUCUUUACAGGGAUAGAAAAAGCAGCCUUUCUCUUCUUGUUUGCCCUAGCAGUGCCAUGAACUUUGACUUCUGGACUCCUUUUCUUUUUGGGAUUGUAACUGUCAGCCACCCUUUUCAGUAGGUCUACGAGGAUUUCCUGGUCAGAUGGAACAGGCUCUUGAGCAUCUUUCCCUAAUUGAAUCAACCCUUCAGCAGCUUCUCCAGAACCCACUACCCCAUGUUUCUCUCACAUUAUCUUCUUUUCCAACAGACUCCUUACUCCAAACUACCAUAGCAUCCGAUUCGUUAGUUAAACCAACAAGAAUGGGUGAAGAAUCAACCACUCUUUUUCCCGUACCCCUCACAACACUUCGUUCACCCUCACUCUCUUUUUCUUUUCUCUUUUCAUUUUUACCACCAACCUUUCCAGACUCAGUAGUUUCAACACUUGCUACAGUUCCUACCAGAACAAACCUAGUCUCCAAAUUUAUAGCAAUCUCAGAAAUAAUUUGAGGAGUACCUUUAGGGCCAGAAGUUACCUGCUCUGUUUCAGAAGAAACUAUUUCUUCCCCCUCAAUAGCAGACUUGAAUGAUUCAUCAGAUUUCUAGGGUUCUUCUUCCCUACCCGCUUUCAAUCUUUCAUUUAUUUUCUUGAUUUUCUCUCCACCAGUGACAACCUUGCAAGCUAUCAUUUUUACCCUACUUUUCUUAGAGGUUGGCGAAGGUUAAUAGAUGGGGUGGAUGUGAUUUCAUUGGGUGGUGAUGAAGGAUUCUCAGAGGUGUUAGCCAUUUCUGUGCUUGGGAAUUUUGGGGGAAAUGGGUUUAUGUAUGUUUUGGAAGUUGAGAGAGAAGAGAAAUUCUUGAUGGCUUGAGAAUUGAGAAGUGAGGAAGAAACUGAGGCCUAAUCAAUUUAAAGUGGAGGUCUUUGAUUGGGUAACGGCUGCUUUUACAGAAGUCUAAUCAAACUGAAAUUCAGUUUGAAAAGACGUUGAAGAGUGUCCCUAGAAUCUAGGCACUUAAUGUGGUUUGAACUCUAUUUGAAUGAAACCGGUCCAUUUCGUAACUGAUAAGAUCGAUGGGUUUAGGAUUGAAUGGGACUCUCCUUUUGAUCAAAAUCCAAAUAUAAUUAUUCUAAAUUAUGCAGAGUGGAGAAUACAUACCAAGUAAUCNNNNNNNNNNNNNNNNNNNNNNNNNNNNNNNNNNNNNNNNNNNNNNNNNNNNNNNNNNNNNNNNNNNNNNNNNNNNNNNNNNNNNNNNNNNNNNNNNNNNNNNNNNNNNNNNNNNNNNNNNNNNNNNNNNNNNNNNNNNNNNNNNNNNNNNNNNNNNNNNNNNNNNNNNNNNNNNNNNNNNNNNNNNNNNNNNNNNNNNNNNNNNNNNNNNNNNNNNNNNNNNNNNNNNNNNNNNNNNNNNNNNNNNNNNNNNNNNNNNNNNNNNNNNNNNNNNNNNNNNNNNNNNNNNNNNNNNNNNNNNNGAAAAUAGAGAAAAUAUCAUUAGGUAUGAAUGAGUCAUUUUAGCACAUGGCACAAGAGUAUACUGAUGAAAGUAUGAAACUUAGCAAAAUCUAAUCAAAUUAUGUACAAAAUUUAUAGAUUUUCUAACCAAAUUUUUUUUUUCAUUAUGAAUUUGAACUGGUCCUUUUAGGUGAUCUUAAUCAUCCCUAAUUCUAACAUGUUCCUUUCAAAGUGAUCUCUACUUAGAGAUUUUGUAAAGAUGUCAGCUAUUUGCUUGUCAGUAGCACAAAACUCCAUAGAAAUCAAACUUUUUUCAUAGUUAUCCCUCAAAAAGUGAUGCCUCACAUCUAUGUGCUUAGUCUUUUUGUGAUAAAUCGGGUUCUUGGUCAUACUAAUUGCACUAGUGUUAUCACAAAAGAUAGGGAUACAACCUACAUCAUUCCCAAAGUCCAUUAAUUGUUGUUUGGUCCAUAGCAAUUGAGCACAGUAUGAAGCAGCAGCAACAUACUCAGCUUCAGCAAUAGAUAAGGCCACAGAAUUUUGCUUUUUGGUGGCCCAAGACACAAGACAUGAGCCAAGAAAGUGUGUCAUACCUGAGAUGCUCUUUCUAUCCACAAGAAAACCUGCAUAAUCAGCAUCAUCAUAUCCCACUAGAUUGAAAUUACUACCUUUCGGAUACCAUAGACACAGGUCAGUGGUGCCUUUUAGGUAUCUCAAGAUCCUCUUGACAGCAGUCAAGUGAGACUCCUUUAGAUUUGCCUGAAAUCUAGCACAAAGGCCUACACUGAAAAUAAUGUCAGGUCUGCUAGCAGUGAGAUACAAUAAAGAGCCAAUCAUUCCCCUAUACAACUUAUGAUCAGCAGAUGAACCAGGUUCAUCUAUAUCCAAUUUUGUGGUUGUUGCUACAGGAGUGUCAAUUUCUUUGGAAUCUUCCAUUUUAAACCUUUUAAGCAACUCUUUCACAUACUUCUAUUGAUGGAUCAUAGUUCCAUUUGAGUUAUGUUUGAUUUGUAAGCCUAAAAAGAAAUUAAGCUCAUCCAACAUACUCAUUUCAAAUUCACUUUCUAUUAGUUUAGCAAAUUCUUUACUUAACUUAUCAGUAGUUGCUCCAAAGAUUAUAUCAUCAACGUAUAUCUGAAUUACCAAGAGAUCUUUACCUUUUUCUUUCAAGAAUAAAGUAUUGUCAAUUUUACUUCUCUUGUAGCCAUGCUUAAGCAAAAAAUUUGAUAGUCUUUCAUACCAUUCNNNNNNNNNNNNNNNNNNNNNNNNNNNNNNNNNNNNNNNNNNNNNNNNNNNNNNNNNNNNNNNNNNNNNNNNNNNNNNNNNNNNNNNNNNNNNNNNNNNNNNNNNNNNNNNNNNNNNNNNNNNNNNNNNNNNNNNNNNNNNNNNNNNNNNNNNNNNNNNNNNNNNNNNNNNNNNNNNNNNNNNNNNNNNNNNNNNNNNNNNNNNNNNNNNNNNNNNNNNNNNNNNNNNNNNNNNNNNNNNNNNNNNNNNNNNNNNNNNNNNNNNNNNNNNNNNNNNNNNNNNNNNNNNNNNNNNNNNNNNNNNNNNNNNNNNNNNNNNNNNNNNNNNNNNNNNNNNNNNNNNNNNNNNNNNNNNNNNNNNNNNNNNNNNNNNNNNNNNNNNNNNNNNNNNNNNNNNNNNNNNNNNNNNNNNNNNNNNNNNNNNNNNNNNNNNNNNNNNNNNNNNNNNNNNNNNNNNNNNNNNNNNNNNNNNNNNNNNNNNNNNNNNNNNNNNNNNNNNNNNNNNNNNNNNNNNNNNNNNNNNNNNNNNNNNNNNNNNNNNNNNNNNNNNNNNNNNNNNNNNNNNNNNNNNNNNNNNNNNNNNNNNNNNNNNNNNGCUUCCAAUCUUGCAAUUGGAGCAAAAGUCUCAUCAUAGUCUAUGCCCUCCUCUUGACUAUAUCCUUGAACCACCAAUCUUGCCUUGUUCCUUGUAACUGUUCCAUCUUCAUCAAGUUUGUUUCUGAAGACCCAUUUAGUGCCAAUUACUGAUAUGUCCUUUGGUCUUGGUACCAGAUGCCAAACUUAACUUCUCUCAAAUUGGUUGAGUUCAUCUUGCAUUGCAUUCACCCAUUCUGCAUCCUGCAAAGUCUCAGCAACAUUUUUAGGUUCAAUAAGAGAUAGAAAAGCAUCAAAAGCACAAAGAUUCUUCAAAGAAGAUCUGGUUUUGAUUCUAGAGGUUGGAUCAGUAAUUAUGUUCUCAAUGGGAUGAGAACUUUGGUACUUAUAAGGUUUCACAACCAGCUGGUUUCCCUUAGAUAUUCCUUUAGUAUUUUGUUGCUGAGGAAUAGGUUCAUGGACAGGUUCCCUCAGGGUUUGAGGAUCAGUUCUUCUUUGUUCAGUUCCCCCUGUCAGGUUGCCCUGGGUAGAAGGACUUGUUCCUUCCUUUGGUACAACUUCAGUCUGGGCUGUGGUUUUAUUUGAGUUUCUAACCAGACCAAUUGCUUCAACUUCAUGUUCCUGUCUCUCAGAAAGAAUGUUAGUUUCAUCAAAAACUACAUGUACACGUUCUUCUAUACACAUAGUUUUUUGUUAUAAAUCUUGUAAGCUUUACUAUGUGAAGAAUAUCUCAAGAAUACUCCAACAUCACUUCUGGGAUCAAACUUACCUAGAGAGUCUUUACCAUUAUUGUACAUAAAGCAGUUGCAUCCAAAUGCCCUAAGAUGAGAUAUGUUUGGCUUUCUCCCUUUAAGUAACUCAUAGGGAGUCUUCUCUACAAGAGGUCUUGUCAUGCACCUAUUUAUGAUGUAACAUGCAGUGUUCACAGCUUCUGCCCAGAAAUUAUGAGGCAGUUUACUAGAAAGAAGCAUAGUUCUAGCCAUAUCUUCAAGUUUUCUAUUUUUUUCUUUCAACUACUCCAUUUUGUUGUGAAGUCUUAGGAGCAGAAAAGUUAUGAUCUAUGCCAUGUUCAUCACAAAAUUCAAAAAAUUUAGCAUUCUCAAAUUCAGUAUCAUGAUCAGACGUAAUUGAUGCAAGUUGAUUACCUAGUUGUUUCUGAGUUUUUCUAACAAACGAAGUGAACAUGUCAAAUGCUUCAUCUUUAGAUUUUAAAAACAAUGUCCAAGUAAACCUAGAGUCAUCAUCAACAAGCACCAUCACAUAUCUCUUACCACUUCUGCUUAAUAUUCUCAUUGGUCCACAAAGAUCCAUAUGGACCAGUUCCAUCGUCCUGGUAGUGCUUACCAUUUUCUUGCUUUUAAAAGAGGAUCUUACCUGCUUUCCCCUUGCACAAGCCUCACAAAUCUUAUAUUCCUUGAACUUAAUGUUAGGCAGUCCUAUCACCAAGUCCUUGGAGACAAGUUUGUUGAGUUGACUUAGACUGGCAUGUCCAAGUCUCUUGUGCCAAAGAAGGGGAUCAUUAUUCAACACACUUAAGCAAGUGAGUUCAUUUUAUGAAAGUGUGGACAGAUCUACAACAUAUAUGUUGUUCACUCUUUUUCCCUGCAAAACUAUCUUGUCAGUGGUAAGAUUAAUCACAAAGCAUUUAGUAGAUGUGAAUGCUACCAUGUUACCUCUAUCACACAAUUGUGAUACACUUAUUAGACUGUACUUUAGUCCAUUUAUCAAGUAGGCAUUCUCAAUAGAAUGAGAAUCAUUCUUACCUACCUUUCCAACCCCAAUGAUCUCACCUUUCUUACAUCUUUUAAGGUCCUCAAGUGAAAGGAAUUGGUUCUUAUUUCCUGUCAUGUGCUUUGAGCAGCCACUAUCCAUGUACCAUAUUUGACUGCUCUCCUUCACUUGGACCUGCAAAAAGAAAUCAGGGGUUAGUCUUAGGAACCCAAACUAGUUUGCGUCCCUUUCUAUAGGCAAAAGGAUAAAUUAAAUUCUUUUUAGCCCAACUUGGUAGCCUAUUUUUUCCUUGAACAAAUUAUUUAUUCUUUUGACUUGCCUUUUCUUUUGCAGUGCAUUCACUUUUAUAGUGACCUUUUUUACCAUAGUGUGUGCAAAUUUUGUUCUCAGGAAGUGUGAGGUACUUGCUUUUAGGAUCCCAUUUAGGUGCCAGGUUCCCAAAGCCAAGUCCUCUUCUAUUGCUACUAUGAUGUUCCUGUAGCCAUGAAAGUGCAUCGGAGGACCUGUUUUAUUUACAAGCUCUGUCUAGCUCAUGCUUGACCUUGCUUAAAUCCUCCUUUAGGAUUCUUACCUGCUCAUCCCUUUUAUACAACUCAUCUUUCUCAUUUUUCCUAUAUUUUCUUCUAGAGUGAGUUGUGUGUUAUCAGCUGUCUUUUUACCUGUUCCUAAUUUCAGUUUUAGAUUUUCAGAUCUAAGCUCUAGGACAGUUGAGUCGAGUGCACGAACCUGGUUCUUCAAAAUAGUAUUUUCACUUACAGUUUCACUAACCCUAAGUUCCAGGUUUUUGCACUUAGCCUUCAAACUCACACAUUCUUUAGACAACUGUUCCUUUCAUUAUUUACAUACUCAGAUUCAUCAAUUAGUUUUAGAAGUAACUCAGAUAACCUUUCUUUAGACAAUAAUUUAAUCUUGUCUUUGAGAUGAAUUACACUUACCUCAGUUUCCUCAUCAGAUUCUCCAAUGGCCAUAAGUGUUUGUUCAUCCCCAUCAUCAUCAUCUGAGCUUUCUCCCCAAGCAGUGACCAUAGUCUUGGUUGAUCCUUUGCUUUUCUUGGGUUGAACCUGUUCCUUCUUCUUGUUCCUUCGUUCAGCUCUUUCCUUAUUCCAUUCAAUUUCCUAUUGGGGACAGUUUUUAAUGUGGUGAUCAGUCUUUCCACACUUGUAGCAUCCAUCAUUGGUUUGCUUCUCAGGAACUUUUGAUUUACUAUAGCUUCCACUUCUUGAAGGACCAUUUCCUCUCCUCAAGUACUUCUUGAAAUCCUUGGUGAUCAUAGCCAUUUCAUCAUCUUCUAGAUCAGAACCUUCAGUGAUUCUGAGUGCAAGGCUCCUUUCCUUCUUAGGUACAUCCAUUUUCAUGGUUUGUCUCUUAAGUUCAUAAGUAGUGAGAUUUCCAAUUAAUUUAUCCAGUGGGAGGGUGGCAAUGUUCUUUGAUUCCUGAAUGGCAGUAAUUUUGCUCUCCCAAGUAACAGGAAGAACCCUUGUCAAUAUUUUAUCGACUCUAUCUUCUUCAGAAAUAAUUCUUCCAAGAGACUUUAGUUCAUUGUCAAUGUAGUGAACCUUGUGUACAUCUCUUGAAUGGUUUCUCCUUCCUUCAUAUUAAAGUUCUCAUAUUGAGAAUACAGUAGAGUUCCUCUGGACCUUUUCACCUGAGGUGUUCCUUCGUGAUCCACUUGCAGAGUGUCCCAGAUUUCCUUGGCAGUGGUACAGCUUUGGAUUCUGCUAUACUCAUCUGGACCAAGUCCACAAACAAGCCAUUCAUUGGCUUUAGCAUUCUUCUCCCAUUUCUUCAAGUCCUCAACAGUGCAAUCAGCUCUUGUCUUUGGCACAUCUUCUCUUUUAGCAUUUUUCUUCAAAGUAGCCAGUGGAUCAUCAGUGACAAUAUUCCAUAGCUCAUAGUCCUCUCCUAUGAUGUGAUCUCUUAUCCUACUUUUUCACUAAGAGUAAUAUCGGUCGUUGAAGAGUGGUGGCCUAGCAGUGGAUUGCCCUUCCCAGUUUCCAGGUGGUGCACUCAUCUUGAUCUUCUCCUAAGGUGUUAGCCUCUUCAAGGAUAACCCGCUAUAAUACCAAUUGAUAUUUUAUAUAUCAAUGCCACACAAGAGGGGGGUGAUUUGUGUGGUGUACAAUUUUUGCGUGCAUUGAUUAUAGAAGAACCUGGUUCUUCUAAGUGUUCCUUAACCUACUGUUGCUGAAAUAGUAAAUGCGAAAAGUAAAGAAUACAAGUAUAUUUAUAUGGAAAAUACCCGGCUCAAAAAGUAAAAAAACCACGACCUACUACUCUGUAGGAUUUUUCCCAACAUUUCACUAAAUUACUGAGCCAAAACAGCAUUUACAAAAACUCUUUGUAAACCUAAGGAUUACCUCUAAUCCAGUUGUGGCAACCAGUCUCUAACUGUUGCGACAACUUCAAGUUAACUCUAACUUGAAUACUCAGAGUACCUAUUACAAUUGCUUCUAGAUAAAGCUGAAAGGUACAAUUUGAAAAUCACAUACUACAAUUGAACUAGAAUAAAAGACAGACGCUUGGAACCGGUUCUUCUAUCUGGUUCAUGUAGCUUCAGGUUCGCACACUUGAAUCACACAAGAAUUGCUUACAAAAUGCCUUGCUAUUUUGCUCUCAACUCACGUUU